rnacentral:lncRNA from 1 species
GACACUUUGACGUGAGCAUGAUGAUUGUUCUAUUUGGAUUUUCUUCUUCUUCUUCUUCUUCUUUGAUCUAGGAUGGGUUCUAGAUCGGCAGCCUGGGAUAGGAAGGAUGGACGUCGUUCUUUGAUCAUUUUCUUUUUCAUCCAUAGUCGGACCCUACUCUUCUACAUGGUGAUUGAAUAUGUUAUUGUAUUGAUGUGAUCUUGAUGUAGCUUGUGGCGAGCGUAAGCAUUUUCCAUAUACUCCUCUCUUCGGUACAUGUACUUGUAACAAUAUCCAUUCUUGCAAAAUGACGAGAUGCAUUUUUAUUCCUCUCGAGGCCCUCGUGCCCAAAAUAAGGAUUUGAUUGCAUCUUGGGCGUUACAAAUCAACUACACCUUUCGCGCAACUUUUCAAAACACAACCUAGAAAAUCCGCAAAUUCAUCUACCGGCGAUGGCCUGGUGGCUAUUCCUACUCCGACGCCACGAUCCCGAAGACUCGCGCCAUCCCACGAGCUGGUCAUCGUGGCACAACCAUCCUAGCUACAAUGGCGCGCGCGUCGUGAUGACCGCGCCUGCCUCCUAUCCUCUCGGCACGCACACACGAAAGCUUGUGGGCUCGAGCACCUAUUCGUUAUUUGCCGAAAACAAGGAUCUAUCCUAACUAACAGAAGCAGCAGCUAGAAUAGCUAACAAAAGAGGUUCGAGGGGGCGACACUGGCUAGACCGAGCUCGAGCUGCUGCUCGCUUGUGUCAUGGCGGGCUGGCCAGUUCCUGUGUUGGCGGACUCGGUUGUGCUGAUUCUCGCCCAGUGGCAUAGUAGACUUUUCUUUUUCUAUUUUUCAAAAUCUUCCAAAAAUUCCCAAGUCAAAAUACUUGUACAAAUUCAAUUAUUCAAAUUCCUAAAUUUUUCUAAAUGCCCAAGCUAUUUAAUGCUGCCACUUAUCCAAUUUUUGCAGAAAGCUAUAUACAUUGUUUUAUUUAAAAGCGUAGUUUGAAUUAUUUUCACCAUCUUUUAAAAUGAUUUCUGUUACUUUUAACACAUCAAACCCAAAACCUUAAAAAAAUUACAGAGCUCAUAUUCCCCCUAGUGUUUUACAAAAAUGGGUUGACCUUUUUUUUGAGUGUUCUAGUUUCCCUAUUUUCUGUGGUAUUAUUUUUGCCCCUUAAACUUGCAUUGAUAGAUUGUGUUGUUGGCGACGUAGUUGGACCAUAACAUUUGCAAGACCCAGAGACUUUGUUGAUCCAGGCGUGCAGCCCUUUGACCAUGACUAUGAGAUCAUUUUAUGCAUGUCAUAUGGCACUUCAUUGCGUUGCAUCUGAGUCAUGUUGAAUCGGUGACCACCUUGGUGGGUUGUCUCCAAUAGCUCCUCAUUGAUACUUUCCCUUGGGCAUGGACCUAUCUUCCUACGAGGGUUGUGCAGGUGGGAAGUAGUUAGGAUGCUAUUAGUUGCUACGCAAAGUGAGAUGGGAUUAUGCAUGUGUUGUAAGCAACUUUGUUUUCAAAGAAUUUUCAAAAACCCCGUCGGGUGCCACCAAUGCCCGAGGGAUAUGGUGUUGAGUUAUAUAAUCACUUGAGGAAUAAGUGGUGUACUUAGGCAAGAUGUGUAUUUUUCUCGAAAAAUGAUUAGAUUUAAGAUGUGCCGAACGUCCCAACCUUACAUGCGCAACCACGAUACCCCUUACGGGGCUUUGUUGAUUAGUUUGGUAGGUACUAGGAGAGAGCCUACAUUACUAGUGGCGGGAGUGAUGUGGUGACUCUCGACUCCGAGUCAUGCCAGGAAGGACGACGAUGGGCCGUUUUCGCAGACACCGGGCUCACCGUUGUGUUCCCUCAUGGAUGAUACUAGUGAUGUACAUCAUGAGUGUGGGACCAACGAGUGGACUCUUUAUUAGUAUCAUCAUGGUAAAGGAAAUGUUUGAGUACUUACGUCGGGUAUGGAAAAUACCACGAGUCGUCGAUUGACACGGAAGUUUCCCGAGUCCUCUGGGUAAAGUGUGGAACCUGUGGAGAGUGUAAAAUUGUUCGAAUAGUCAUGUCCACGACCAUGGACAGUUUGUGGUCCUUCUUAGACUAUGUCUAGAUGUUUUCAGAAAUUUGGUGUGAAUGUGCGAGAAAGAUCAUAGUAUGAGAAAGGAUAUGCUUGACUUAAGUCAGAUGACUGGACAUGAUGAGGGAACAUGAGAUGUUGAAUCCCUGUUUAUACUGAUAUUUGCAACUUUUUCAAAUGUAUAUCAGUCACCUCAUGAUCCAUACUUUCAUAAGAUAUCGAUCAUGUGAUUACACUUAAAAUAAGCUUUCUGCAACUUACCUAUUAGUUCUAUAUCAUGCAUUGUUAUUGCCUUGUUCCACAACAUGGGCUGCUUGAAAGUACAUUCAAAGUACUCAUUGGCUUGACACUGGUUAUUUAAUUGGCCAGUCAUGGAAGAACAGGAGUAUGAAGAGUUCAUUGCAGAUGAGCAUGUGAACUACGAUGCUUCCUAAUCAGAAUGCCUGCACCUUUAGGUAGAUGGCAUGGGUCCACGCUUUCGUUCAAGAUUUCUGCUCCUAGUUUGUGUUUGGUAUUUGGCCGUCAUGGCCGUGUCUAUGUAAGAUUUAACCUUGAUGGUCUUUAUUUGUAUCAGACGAUAUAUAUGAAUUUAAGUCUCUUGUUAUUCAGCUUCUUUCUGUUUAAUGAGCAUUGAUCUAUGGGAUCACUAAACACGUGUAUUUGGUGAUCAUGACUUAUGAGUCGGGGUCCCCACAGUGCUGGUAUGAGAGCCAUCCGAACUGUAGGAAGCCUUAGUUAGCAUGAACAUUAGUUACGAUAAAAUCCCUUGCAAAAACUAUACCUGGAUCCUAUAAUGAGGAGUUUCUCCACUUCUUCCCUCUUCUAUUCUACUUCAAAACUAUACUGACACCCCACCCAUUUCAAACCUUUGUAGAUGGCCGUCGUACCAGAAGACCUCCUCGCAUACGGCUUUCCCCUAGUCGAUAAGAAGAUCCUAGAGAAGUGCCAGAUCCGACGAUCCCGCAUUUUGCUCUACUACGAGCACUAGGUCGAUGCCACCAUGAAGGAGUACCACGUUGAUGUGGUUGUAAAGGCAAAUGACUCCCCGACGAGCUUCUCCUUGGAAGGACCACAUAUGGACACUUUGGUGAUUCAAGUCAGGAUGGUUCCUCAGAAUAUACUCAUCCACCUUCGAGACAUAUUCCCUGAGAUGGGUGACGAGCCGCCAACUCGCCACUUUCCUUUCAGGAAGAAUGAUAUCGAUGAGAGUUGGACGUUGAUCCCAUUCAAGGAGGAUGGAACACCUCUCGGAUUCUAGACCAACUUCAGCCUCUCCGCCGAUAGUCUGGCUCACAACCUGAUUAAGGAGUCCGUGAAGCACCGCAAGGAACUUCACCAUACUCAUGGGGUACUAUGACAAGCCAAGACGAAGCCAGACAUGAUCAAGAAGGAUGGAUCCCUAGAGGGAUGACCAGCUAUCACUUAUAGAGGAGGAGUACCCCCAUCUAGAGGUGCACCCACUCUGGGAGCAUCUUAAUGACAUCACAUGAGUGCAAAGGAUUUUCUCUCUGUGGUGUCCCACCGGCGAAGCAUCACCGAAAUAGACCUCCUCGUUCUACGACCACCUCGACCGGAGACGAUGCUCGUACGGGCGAUGAAUAGGAGGAAUACCUAUACGAAUGUGAGUAGGAGACCGAGCACUCCACCAAUUUAGUCCAAGAACCGCUAGGGUAGGAUAAGUCAUGUACCCCUCAUGCGAAUUCGCGUUCGUGUAAUGGUUCAUAUGAAACCAUGUAUGCUUGUUGUAGUUUUGUUGUUUCUGUUUUGAUACAAUUCGUCAUUUUGCCUUAGGCAACAUGUAAGGUACUAUAUCUCCCAUCUUAUCUUAAAGUUAUGUGUUUGUUCUUUCGUCCUUUGUUUUAUCACACUUUGAAAGCACAUUUGCUCCCUUGGUGGUUUUGAUAAUUCGUGACAACAUACAUUGUCUCUUGGACUAACACUUUUACCUAGUAUAUUUAAGUUUUAGUCCACAAAGAGCUUUGGCUAAAGGAUUGUGAGGAUAAGACCCUUGAUAAACGAAGGAAUAGGAUUGGCUAAAGCUUCAUGCAAGAAGACUCUUCAUUUUACACUUUGUGAGAAAUCACUAUUGAGUCCAUAGGAAAGCCAAUACUAUUAAAAGGGGAUGAGGUAUUAUGAUGAAUUGGUUGCUCAAGUGCUUGGAGAUAGCCAACAAAAAUACUCAGCCACUUUCCUCCAAAUAUAUCUUUCCCAAGCCAAAAGUGCAAAAUCGGUGCCACCAACAUUUCCAACUUGGCUAUACCGAUUUUACACUUAGACAUAUCCUAUGUCAAUCCCACCAUCUCGGUACAACCAACAUUUCUAUAGGUGCCACCGAGAUUGGGGGACCAACAUUCUAUUGAGCUAACUUCAAGUUUCGGAAUUUCUGAGUUUGAAGUCGGUCUCACCGAGUUUGGAAACCAGUCUAGGUCAUCGUAUCGGUACCACCGAGAUUCCUAUAUCGGUCUUACCGAGAAUUCAAAGUUGCCACAUUUAGUGAAACUCGGUACGACCGAGAUUAAUAUUUCGAUGUCACCGAGUUGGGCAAUAAUGUUGUAAUGGUUGGAUUUCGGGAGAUGCGUACAUACACCCCUCCACCUACCUCUCACUCGUAGAGGAAGCACUCGGAACACACUUACACAUGCCACAUCCAUUUUUCUAAGAGACACCUACUCAUGUGUUGAGAUCAAAAUGUUCCAUUCCUACCAUUUGAACCUUGGUUUGUAGCCUCCCGAACUUGAUUUCCACAAUACCAAUCUCUCCUACCCCUGCCAAAUUUAAGAGAGAGUGAUUGAAUGUUGAGGAGACUAUCUUUAGAACCACUAGAGCAAGGAGUUCAUCAUUCUACCACAUGUAUUACCUUUUGGAUGGUGGUGCCUCGUAGAUUGGUUCGGUUGUGGAGUUGAACCAAGAUGUUUGUAAGGGCAAGCAAAUCGCCUACUUCGUGAAGAUCUACGGUGAGUGAGGCUAAUCCUGUGUGGACAGAAGUCGUGGUGGAAUAUACAAGGCCGCUUCUUCAUGGACCCCUUGUGGGUGGAGCCCUCUGUGGACUCUCGCAGUCGUUACCCUCCGUGGGUUGAAGUCUCCACUAACAUGGAUGUAUGAUAGCGCCACAUAUCGGAACCAUGACAAAAAUCAUCGUGUCAACUUCUUCGUGUUUGAUCUUCCUAAACUCUACUUAUUACUACAUGUGCAAAGUCUUUAAUUUCCGCUACCAUUCUUGUUGACUAGUAUGUGUAGGGUGCACUAGACUUGUUAGAAUCACUAAAAUCUACCAACCAUUAAAUUGGGAAAUGGUUAGGAUUUAAAUUUACGUAAGUAGUCUAUUCACCCCCCCCCUCUAGACACAUCUUCUAUCGAUCCCUCAAUUGGUUUCAGAGCAAGGUAUCCAAAACCUUGGUUCAAACACCAUUGGAGGAAGAUGGAUGUGCCUAGUUUGGGGAAUAUUAGUUGUAGAGUACCUAUUCCUGAUCGGGAAUAUUUUAGACAAUGGAAAUAUUAAAUGAUUGAUAUAUUCGAUAACUUCCAUUUGCGCAAGUAUGUUAAAUAUCCCUAUGAGCCUCGCAUUGAUCCUUUGCUUCCUUCCCAUGAUGACGAAAUUGAUAUGCUUGGUAAUCUUAAAAUUGUAAAUCUAAUCAUUAGAGGGCUGCCAAGAAAUGUGCUUAAUCAAUUGCAAAAUUUUGAGUGUGCUCACACUUUGUGGAAAGACUUAGAGGAAAGAUAUCCCGACUAUUCAUUGAAAAAACUUGAGAUCAUUUUCCAUAAAUGCAUUUCCUUUCACAAAAUGAAGCCAACCGAUCCUAAUUUUGAUAAAUUCCUAUUUGAGGUUCGUGACCUCAUGCGUGCUAAAGGAGAUUUCAUUACCAUUAACAAUGUCAUUGUUGAAGCCAUUCAUAUGCAUAAAUAUGAACGUGAUAAAGACAUGUUCCAUGAGAUCACACAGAAUAGUGGACCUCGAAGGUAUGUGACUUUGGGAGACAAUGCGUAGGGUAUGGUACUUGGUCUUGGUAAGGUGGCCAUAUCUCAUAUGAUAGUUCCAUUCAAAAUUUCAUGCUUGUUGAAUCCCUUGGCUACAAUCUGCUUUCCGUAUCUAGACUAGCAGACUUUGGUUUCAAUGUGCUAUUUACGAAAGUUGAGUGCCAAGUGUUUUAGAGUGACAAUCAUAACAUGGUCUUUAGUGGUAUCCAUAGAGCUGAUGUUGGUUAUGGCUAAGUCUUCUAAAGGUUGGUUAUGGCAUAGAAGGUUAGGACAUGUUGGUAUGCGUAACCUUGACAUGCUUAUCAAAGGUGAUCGUAUUCUUGUGUUAGAGAUCUUAUCUUUGACAAAGAUAGACUUUGUAGUGCUUGUCAAGCAGGAAAGCAAGUCAGUGGAAGUCAUCCCGUGAAGAACAUCAUGACUACAAGAAGGACACUCGAGCUGCUUCACAUGGAUCUUUUUGGUUCCAAUGCAUACAAGAGCCCUUGUGGAUAUUCUUAUGGUUUAGUUAUUGUUGAUGAUUUUUACAGAUUUACAUGGGUAUUAUUUCUUGAUUAUAAGUCACAGGUUCAAAUGAUCUUCAAGAAAUUCACUCGGAAAGCUCAAAAUCAGUUUGAAGGGAAGAUCAAGAAAGUUCGGAGCGACAAGAGAGAAAAGUUCAUGAACACUAAUGUGGAUACUUUUCUUGAAGAAGAAGUUAUCUCACAUGAGUUCUCGGCGACGUACACACCUCAAAAAAAUGGAGUUGUUGAGAGGAAGAACCGGACUCACAUAGAGAUGACUAGAAUAAUGCUUGAUGUAUACAAGAUGCUAAGACACUUUUGGGGAGAAGCCGUGGAAACAGCUUGACAUGUCGUAAACCGACUCUACUUACACAAGCUUCUCGGUAAAACGUCAUAUGAGCUACUCACCAGUAACAAACCCCAAGUUGGAUACUUUCGAGUAUUCGGCUUUAAAAGCUACAUUCUUUAUAAGCAUCGUUGUGCUAAAUUUGCUCCUAAAUCUCAUGAAGGUUUCCUACUUGGUUACGAAUCAAAUUCUCACACUUACCGUGUCUACAACAGCUUCACUCGAAUAGUUGAAGAGAUGGUAGAUGUGAAGUUUGAUGAAUCUAAUGGUUCGUGAGUCGAAGAAUUUCCUAAUUAUGUAGGAGAUAAGGAACCUUCGGAAGCCAUCCAAGAUCUACCUACCAGCAAGAUUCGUCCCAUGGAGGUCAAGGUAAGUACUUCAUUAAUUCAACUAGAAGCUCCUACUUCGCGUUAAGGCGAACCAAAAUAUUAUAUGGACGCAUCCACAAACGGUACACGACAAGAUGAAGACGGGGAAGAAGUACAUCGUGACGAUCCACCUCAACCUUCCUCACCACCACCUCAAGGAGUUAACACAGUCAAUGACAACAUGCAAGAUGAUGAUGAUGAAGAAGCUCCACCAUCCAACAAGAAGUAGCUGUCACGAAUUUGAGCAAGAGAGGACAAAGAUCAUCCGCUGAAUCAAAUCUUCGUGGACAUACAAACUGGGAGAAUCACUCGCUCUAAAUCUCGUUCAGCUAACUUUUGGGAGCAUUAUUCUUUCAUUUCUAGCAUUGAGCCUUUGAAGGUAGAAGAAGCACUUCAAGACCCGGAUUGGGUGAAUGCCAUGCAUGAAGAUCUACAAGAUGGGAGUUGUGGAGGAAUCAAGUGUGGACACUUGUUGAAAAUCCCAAAGGUGAGCAAAACAUCAUUGGUACAAGAUGGGAGUUUCAGAACAAGCAAGGUGAAGAUUGUCAAGUUGUACACAACAAGACGCCUCUCGUAGCCCAAGGAUACACGGAAGUCGAAGUAUGGACUAUGGAGAGACAUAUGCCCCCUUGCUAGAAUUGAAGCUAUUCACAUUGUUCUCGCUUAUAGCAAUCACCAUGACAUUACUCUUUACCAAAUGGAUAUAAAAAGUGCUUUUCUAAAUGGUGAAAUUGAGGAGGAGGUAUAUGUCAAACAACCUCCAGGAUUUGUUAACUCCAAGAAACCUAAUCAUGUUUACACACUUUGUAAAGAUUUAUAUGGACAUAAACAAGCACCUAGAGCGUGGUACAAAUGCCAAAUGAAGUUUCUCAUUGAAAAGGAUUUUGAAAUUGGUAAAAUUGACACAACCUUAUUCACUAAAGGAGUUAAUGGAGAAAUAUUUGUGUGCCAAAUAUAUGUGGAUGAUAUUAUAUUUUGUUCUACUAACCCACAUUUUAGUGAGAAAUUUGGAAAGUUGAUGUUAGAGAAAUAUGAGAUGGCAAUGAUGUGCGAGCUGAAAUUCUUCCUUGAAUUGCAGAUCAAACAAUUGAGAUAAGGUACAUUUAUCUCUCAAACCAAGUACACUAAGGACUUCAUCAGAAAGUUCAAUAUGCAAGGGUGCAAAGUUAUGCGAACCCCCAUGCGUACUAAUGGAUGUAUUGACCUUGCUAAGGAGGACAAACCAGUUGAUCAAAGAGUUUAUCGAUCAAUGAUUGGUUCAUUGCUAUAUCUAUGUGCCUCCCAUCGUGAUAUCAUGUUGAGUGUUUGCAUGUGUGCCCUAUAGGAGGCACCUAAAGAGUAUAAUCUAUUGGAUGUUAAAUGAAUCGUGAGAUACCUAAUACAUACACAAAACUUCGGCAUAUGGUAUUGUAACGCCCAAGAUGCGACCAUAUCCUUAUUUUGGUGCGAGGGCCUCGAUAGGGAUAGAAGUGCAUCUCAUCAAUUUCCAAGAAUGGAUAUUGUUACAAGUACAUGUACAGAAUAGAUGAGUAUAUGGAAUUGGCUUACACUCACCACAAGCUACAUCAAAUUCACAUUAAUACAACAACAGACAGUCAUCAUGAAGAACAGAAGGUUCCGACUACGGACAAAAACAAACGACAAAAGAACGACAUCCAUCCUUGCUAUCCCAGAGUGCCGGCCUCGAACCCAUCCUAGAUCGAUGAAUAGGAAGAAGAAGAAGAAAACUCCAAAUAGCACAAUCAUCGCGCUCACAUCCUAUUAUCACUUUACCUGUACGUGCAUCUGGUGUUGUAGUAAUCUAUGAGCCAUGGGGACUCAACAGUCUCAUUUCCAAAUGUUGUUGGGGUACGUCGCAUGGGAAACAAAAACUUUCCUACGCGCGCGAAAACCUACCAUGGUGAUGUUCAUCUACCAGGGGGAUUUCAGAUCUACGUACCCUUGUAGAUCGCACAGCAGAAGCGUUAGUACACGCGGUUGAUGUAGUGGAGAGUCCUCACGUCCCUCGAUCCGCCCCGCGAACCGUCCCACGAUCCGCUCCGAUCUAGUGCCGAACGGACGGCACCUCCGCGUUCAGCACACGUACAACUCGACGAUGAUCUCGGCCUUCUUGAUCCAGCAAGAGAGGCGGAGAGGUAGAUGAGUUCUCCAGCAGCGUGAUGGCGCUCCGGAGGUUGGUGGUGAUCUAAUCUCAGUAGGGCUCCGCCCGAGCUCCGGAGAAACGCGAUCCAGAGGAAAAACCGUGGAGGUAUGUGGUCGGGCAGCCGCGGAAAAGUUGUCUCAAAUCAGCCCUAAAACCUCCGUAUAUAUAUAGGUGGGAGGGGAGGAGCCUUCCCUUGGGCUCAUGAGGCCCCAAGGGGUUCGGCCGAUGGGGGGGGAGGAGAAUUCCUCCUCCAAUCCUAGUCCAACUAGGAUUGGAAGGUGGAGUCCUUCCCUUCCUUCCCACUUCCCCUUUUUUUCCUUUUCUCUUUGAUUUUCUUAUCUCCUGCGCAGGGGCCUCUCUGGGCUUUCCCACCAGCCCACUAAGGGCUGGUGCGGCACCCCUAAGGCCUAUGGGCUUCCCCAGGGUGGGCUGCCCCCCCGGUGAACUCCCGGAAUCCAUUCGUCAUUCCCGGUACAUUCCGGUAACUCCGAAAACCUUCCGGUAGUCAAAUGAGGUCAUCCUAUAUAUCAAUCUUCGUUUCCGGACCAUUCCGGAAACCCUCUUGACAUCCGUGAUCUCAUCCGGGACUCCGAACAACAUUCGUUAACCAACCAUAUAACUCAAAUAUGCAUAAAACAACGUUGAACCUUAAGUGUGCAGACCCUGCGGGUUCGAGAACUAUGUAGACAUGACCCGAGGGACUCCUCGGUCAAUAUCCAAUAGCGGGACCUGGAUGCCCUUAUUGGAUCCUACAUAUUCGACGAAAAUCUUAUCGUUUCAACCUCAGUGCCAAGGAUUCAUAUAAUCCCGUAUGUCAUUCCCUUUGUCCUUUGGUAUGUUACAUGCCGGAGAUUCGAUCGUCAGUAUCCGCAUACCUAUUUUAAUCUCGUUUACCAGCAAGUCUCUUAACUCGUUCCGUAAUACAAGAUCCCUCAACUUACACUAAGUCACAUUGCUUGCAAGGCUUGUGUGCGAUGUUGUAUUAUCGAGUGGGCCCCGAGAUACCUCUCCGUCACAUGGUGACAAAUCCCAGUUUUGAUCCAUACUAACUCAAUGGACACCUUCGGAGAUACCUGUAGAGCACCUUUAUAGCAACCCAGUUACGUUGUGACGUUUGAUACACACAAAGCAUUCCUUCGGUGUCAGUGAGUUAUAUGAUCUCAUGGUCAUAGGAAUAAAUACUUGACAUGCAGAAAACAGUAGCAACAAAAUGACACGAUCAACAUGCUACGUCUAUUAGUUUGGGUCUAGUCCAUCACAUAAUUCUCCCAAUGAUGUGAUCCAGUUAUCAAGCAACAACACCUUGUGCAUAGUCAGAAGAACCUGACCAUGCUUGAUCAACUGGCUAGCCAACUAGAGGCUUGCUAGGGACAAUGUUUUGUCUAUGUAUCCACACAUAUAUCUAAGUCUUCAUUCAAUACAAUUAUAGCAUGGAUAAUAAACGAUUAUCUUGAUACAGGAAUUAUAAUAAUAACUUAUUUAUCAUUGCCUCUAGGGCAUAAUUCCAACAGUCUCCCACUUGCACUAAACUCAAUAAUCUAUCCCUCACAUCGCCAUGCGAAUUACAUUGUAAUAAAUCUAACACCCAUACAGUUCUGGUGUUGAUCAUGCUUAGCCCGUGGAAGAGGUUUAUUCAGCGGGUCUGCUACAUUCAGAUCUGUGUGCACUUUGCAUAUAUUUACGUCCUCCCCUUCGACGUAGUCGCGGAUGAGGUUGAAGCGUCGUUUGAUGUGUCUGGUCUUCUUGUGAAACCGUGGUUCCUUUGCUAAGGCAAUGGCACCCGUGUUGUCAUAGAACAAGGUUAUUGGAUUUAGUGCGCUUGGCACCACUCCAAGAUCCAUCAUGAACUGCUUCAUCCAGACACCCUCCUUAGCCGCCUUUGAGGCAGCCAUGUACUCCGCUUCACAUGUAGAAUUAGCUACGACGCUUUGCUUGGAACUGCACCAGCUUACCGCACCCCCAUUAAGAAUAAAUAUGUAUCCGGUCUGCGACUUAGAGUCGUCCGGAUCUGUGUCAAAGCUUGCAUCGACAUAACCUUUUACGGCGAGCUCUUUGUCACCUCCAUACACGAGAAACAUCUCCUUAGUACUUUUCAGGUACUUCAGGAUAUUCUUGACCGCUGUCCCGUGAUCCACUCCUGGAUUACUCUAGAACCUGCCUGCCAUACUUAUGGCCAGGCUAACGUUCGGUCUAGUGCACAACAUUGCAUACAUGAUAGAACCUAUGGCUGAAGCAUAGGGGACGGUGCUCAUAUGCUCUCUAUCUUUAUCAGUUACUGGGCACUGAGUCUUACUUAAUCUCGUACCUUGUAAAACUGGCAAGAACCCCUUCUUGGACUGUUCCAUUUUGAACCUCUUCAAAACUUUAUCAAGGUAUGUGCUUUGUGAAAGUCCUAUCGGGCAUUUUGAUCUAUCCCUAUAGAUCUUAAAGCCUAGAAUGUAAGCAGCUUCUCCUAGGUCCUUCAUAGAGAAACUUUUAUUCAAGUAAUCCUUUAUGCUCUCAAAAAACUCCACGUUGUUUCCAAUCAGCAAUAUGUCAUCCACAUAUAAUAUUAGAAACUCCACAGAGCUCCCACUCACUUUCUUGUAAAUACAAGAUUCUCCAACCACUUGUAAAAACCCAAAUGCUUUGAUCACCCCAUCAAAGCGUUUAUUCCAACUCCGAGAUGCUUGCACCAGUCCAUAAAUGGAUCGCUGGAGCUUGCAUACUUUGUUAGCAUUUUUAGGAUCGACAAAACCUUCGGGUUGUAUCAUAUACAACUCUUCCUUAAGAAAACCGUUAAGGAACGCCGUUUCGACAUCCAUCUGCCAGAUUUCAUAAUCGAAAAAUGCAGCUAUUGCUAACAUGAUUCUGACAGACUUAUGCAUCGCUACGGAUGAGAACGUCUCAUCGUAGUCAACUCCUUGAACUUGUGAAAAACCCUUUGCCACAAGUCGAGCUUUAUAAACGGUCACAUUACCGUCAACGUCAGUCUUCUUCUUAAACAUCCAUUUGUUCUGAAUAGCCUUGCAGCCUUCAGGUAGUACUUCCAAAGUCCACACUUUGUUUUCAUACAUGGAUCCUAUCUCGGACUUCAUGGCCUCCAGCCAUUUGUUGGAAUCCGGGCCCACGAUUGCUUCUUCAUAAUUCGCAGGCUCAUUGUUGUCUAACAACAUAAUUGAUAAGAUGGGAUUACCGUACCACUCUGGAGUAGUACGCGGUCUCGUCGACCUGCAAGGUUCGAUAGGAACUUGAUCCGGAGUUUCAUGAUCAUCAUCAUUAACUUCCUCCUCAACCGACGUUGCAACGACAGGGGUUUUCCCUUGCCAUGCGCCACCAUCCAGAGGGAUGAGAGGUUCAAUAACCUCAUCAAGUUCUAUCUUCCUCCCACUCAAUUCUCUUGAGAGAAACUCCUUCUCGAGAAAAGCUCCGUUCUUAGCAACAAACACUUUGCCCUCGGAUUUGAGAUAGAAGGUGUACCCAACUGUCUCUUUUGGGUAACCUAUGAAGAUGCACUUUUCCGCUUCGGGUUCCAGCUUUUCAGGCUAAAGCUUUCUGACAUAAGCAUCACAUCCCCAAACUUUAAGAAACGACAACUUUGGUCUUUUGCCAUACCACAGUUCGUAUGGUGUCGUCUCAACAAAUUUUGAUGGCGUCCUAUUUAAAGUGAAUGCAGUUGUUCCUAAUGCAUAACCCCAAAACGAUAACGGCAGAUCGGUAAGAGACAUCAUAGAUCGCACCAUCUCUAAUAAAGUACGAUUACGAUGUUCGGACACACCAUUACACUGUGGUGUUCCAUGCGGUGUCAACUCUUAAACAAUUCCGCAUUGUCUUAAGUGAGCACCAAACUCGAAACUCAGAUAUUCACCCCCACGAUCAAACCGUAGGAAUUUGAUCUUCUUGUUACGAUGAUUUUAAACUUCACUCUGAAAUUGCUUGAACUUUUCAAAUGUUUCAGACUUGUGCUUCAUUAAGUAGACAUAACCAUAUCUACUCAAAUCGUCAGUGAAGGUGAGAAAAUAACGAUAUCCGCCACGUGCCUCCAUGCUCAUCGGACCACACACAUCGGUAUGUAUGAUUUCCAACAAGUCACUUGCACGCUCCAUUGUUCCAGAGAACGGAGUUUUAGUCAUCUUGCCCAUGAGGCAUGGUUCGCACGUGUCAAGUGAAUCAAUGUCAAGUGACUCCAAAAGUCUAUCAGUAUGGAGUUUCUUCAUGCGCUUUACACCAAUAUGACCUAAGCGGCAGUGCCACAAAAACAUGGCGCUAUCAUUGGUAACUCUAACUCUUUUGUUCUCAAUGUUAUGUAUAUGUGUAUUAUCACUAUCAAGAUUCAAUAUGAACAAUCCUCUCACAUUGGAUGCAUGACCAUAAAAGAUAUUACUCAUACAAAUAGAACAACCAUUAUUCUCUGACUUAAACGAGUAACCAUCUUGCAAUAAACAAGAUCCAGAUAUAAUGUUCAUGCUCACCGCAGGCACUAAAUAACAAUUAUUCAAGUUCAUAACUAAUCCUGAUGGGAACUGAAGUGAAACUGUGCCGACGGCGAUUGCAUCAACCUUGGAACCAUUUCCCACGCGCAUCGUCACUUCAUCUUUCGCCAGCCUUCGACUAUUCCGCAGUUCCUGUUUCGAGUUGCAAAUAUGGGCAACAGAACCGGUAUCGAAUACCCAGGCACUACUACGAGAGCUGGUUAAGUACACAUCAAUAACAUGUAUAUCAAAUAUACCUGAUUUUUCUUUGGUCGCCUUCUUAUCAGCCAGAUACUUGGGGCAGUUGCGCUUCCAGUGACCCAUACCCUUGCAAUAAUAGCACUCCAUUUCAGGCUUAGGUCCAGCUUUGGGUUUCUUCGUCGGAUUGGCAACAGGUUUGCCGCUCUUCUUUGAAUUACCCUUCUUUCCUUUGUCGUUUCUCUUGAAACUAGUGGUCUUAUUCACCAUCAACACUUGAUGUUCUUUACGGAGUUCUGACUCUACGGCUUUCAGCAUCGCGAAAAACUCGUCGGGUGACUUGUUUAUCCCUUGCAUGUCGUAGUUCAACACAAAGCCCUUAUAGCUUGGCGGCAGUGAUUGAAGAAUUCUAUCACUGAUAGCCUCUUGCAGGAAUUCAAUCCCCAGCUCAGCUAGACGAUUUGAGUACCCAGACAUUUUGAGCACGUGUUCACUGACAAACGAAUUCUCCUCCAUCUUGCAAGCAUAGAAUUUAUCGGAGGUCUCAUACCUCUCGAUCUGGGCGUUCUUCUGAAAGAUAAACUUCAACUCCUGGAACAUCUCAUAUGCUCCAUGACGCUCAAAGCGACAUUGAAGUCCUGGUUCUAAGCCAUACAAGACUGCACAUUGAACUACUGAGUAGUCCUCCUUACGUGAUAACCAAGCGUUCUUGACAUCUUGGUCAGCCGUAGCGGGUGGUUCAUCUCCUAACGCAACAUCAAGGACAUAAUCCUUCUUCCGAGCUUGUAGGAUCAACUUAAGAUUACGAACCAUGAUCUACAAAGUUGCUUCCAUCAUCUUUCAACUUAGCUUUCUCUAGGAACGUAUUAAAAUUCAGGGUGACUGUCGCGUGAGCCAUGAUCUACAACACAAAUAUAUUCAAAGUGGACUUAGACUAUGUUCAAGAUAAUUAGAAUUUAACUUAAUCAAAUUACUUGCUAAACUCCCACUCAAAAAGUACAUCUCUCUAGUCAUUUGAGUGGUUCAUGAUCCAAUUCCACUAGCUCAAGUCCGAUCAUCACGUGAGUUGAGGAUAGUUUCAGUGGUAAGCAUCCCUAUGCUAAUCAUAUCAACUAUAUGAUUCAUAAUCGACCUUUCGGUCUCAUGUGUUCCAAGGCCAUGUCUGCACAUGCUAGGCUCAUCAAGCUUAACCCGAGUGUUCCGCGUGUGCAACUGUUUUGCAUCCGUUGUAUGUGAACGUUGAGUCUAUUACACCCGAUCAUCACGUGGUGUCUCGAAACAACGAAUAGUCGCAACGAUGCACAGUCGGGGAGAACACAAUUUCGUCUUGAAAUUCUAGUGAGAGAUCACCUCAUAAUGCUACCGUCGUUCUAAGAAAAAUAAGGUGCAUAAAAGGAUUAACAUCACAUGCAAUUCAUAAGUGACAUGAUAUGGCCAUCAUCAUGUGCUUCUUGAUCUCUAUCACCAAAGCACCGGCACGAUCUUCUUUGUCACUGGCGCCACACCAUGAUCUCCAUCAACGUGUCACCAUCGGGGUUGUCGUGCUACUCAUGCUAUUACUACUAAAGCUACAUCCUAGCAAUAUAGUAAACGCAUCUGCAAGCACAAACGUUAGUUUAAAGACAACCCUAUGGCUCCUGCCGGUUGCCGUACCAUCGACGUGCAAGUCAAUAUUAACUAUUACAACAUGAUCAUGUCAUACAUCCAAUAUAUCACAUCACAUCGUUGGCCAUAUCACAUCACAAGCAUACCCUGCAAAAACAAGUUAGACAUCCUCUAGUUGUUGUUGCAUGUUUUACGUGGUGACCAUGGGUAUCUAGUAGGAUUGCAUCUUACUUACGCAAACACCACAACGGAGAUAUAUGAAUUGCUAUUUAACCUCAUCCAAGGACCUCCUUGGUCAAAUCCGAUUCAACUAAAGUUGGAGAAACCGACACUCGCCAGUCAUCUUUGAGCAACGGAGUUACUCGUAGCGAUGAAACUAGUCUCUCGUAAGCAUAAGAGUAAUGUAGGUCCGAGCCGCUUCGAUCCAACAAUACCGCGGAAUCAAGAAAAGAGUAAGGAGGGCAGCAAAUCGCACAUCACCACCCACAAGAACUUUUGUGUUCUACUCGUGAUGCCACUGUUGGGGAAUGUCGCAUGGGAAACAAAAAAUUUCCUACGCGCACGCAAACCUAUCAUGGUGAUGUUCAUCUACGAGGGGGAUUUCAGAUCUACGUACCCUUGUAGAUUGCACAGAAGAAGCGUUAAUAAAAGCGGUUGAUGUAGUGGAACGUCCUCACGUCCCUCGAUCCGCCCUGCGAACCAUCCCACGAAGCGUCCCACGAUCCGCUCCGAUCUAGUGCCGAACAGACGGCACCUCCGCGGUCAGCACACGUACAGCUCGACGAUGAUCUCGGCCUUCUUGAUCCAGCAAGAGAGGCAGAGAGGUAGAUGAGUUCUCCAGCAGCGUGAUGGCGCUCCGGAGGUUGGUGGUGAUCUAAUCUCAGUAGGGCUCCGCCCGAGCUCCGGAGAAACGCGAUCCAGAGGAAAAACCGUGGAGGUAUGUGGUCGGGCUGCCGUGGACAAGUUGUCUCAAAUCAGCCCUAAAACCUCCGUAUAUAUAUAGGUGGGAGGGGAGGAGCCUUGCCUUGGGGCUCAAGAGGACCCGAGGGGUUCGGCCAAUGGGGGGGGGAGGAGGAUUCCUCCUCCAAUCCUAGUCCAACUAGGAUAGGAAGGUGGAGUCCUUCCCUUCCUUCCCACUUCCCCUUUUUUUCCUUUUCUCUUUGAUUUUCUUAUCUCCUGCACAGGGGCCUCUCUGGGCUUUCCCACCAGCCCACUAAGGGCUGGUGCGGCACCCCUAAGGCCUAUGGGCUUCUCAGGGGUGGGCUGCCCCCCGGUGAACUCCCGGAACCCAUUCGUUAUUCCCGAUACAUUCCCGGUAACUCCGAAGACCUUCCGGUAAUCAAAUGAGGUCAUCCUAUAUAUCAAUCUUCAUUUCCGGACCAUUCUGGAAACCCUCGUGACAUCCAUGAUCUCAUCCGGGACUCCGAACAACAUUCGGUAACCAACCAUAUAACUCAAAUACGCAUAAAACAACGACGAACCUUAAGUGUGCAGACCCUGCGGGUUCGAGAACUAUGUAGACAUGACCCGAGGGACUCCUCGGUCAAUAUCCAAUAGCGGGACAUGGAUGCCCAUAUUGGAUCCUACAUAUUCUACGAAGAUCUUAUCGUUUGAACCUCAGUGCCAAGGAUUCAUAUAAUCCCGUAUGUCAUUCCCUUUGUCCUUCGGUAUGUUACUUGCCCGAGAUUCGAUCGUCAGUAUCCGCAUACCUAUUUUAAUCUUGAUUACCAGCUAGUCUCUUUACUCGUUCCAUAAUACAAGAUCCCACAACUUACACUAAGUCACAUUGCUUGCAAGGCUUGUGUGUGAUGUUGUAUUACCGAGUGGGCCCCGAGAUACCUCUCUGUCACACGGAGUGACAAAUCCCAGUCUUGAUCCAUACUAACUCAACGGACACCUUCGGAGAUACCUGUAGAGCAUCUUUAUAGCCACCCAGUUACAUUGUGACGUUUGAUACACACAAAGCAUUCCUCCGGUGUCAGUGAGUUAUAUGAUCUCAUGGUCAUAGGAAUAAAUAAUUGACACGCAGAAAACAGUAGCAACAAAAUGACAUGAUCAACAUUCUACGUUUAUUAGUUUGGGUCUAGUCCAUCACAUGAUUCUCCUAAUGAUGUGAUCCAGUUAUCAAGCAACAACAUCUUGUACAUAGUCAGAAGACCCUGACCAUCCUUGAUCAACUGGCUAGCCAACUAGAGGCUUGCUAGGGACAGUGUUUUGUCUAUGUAUGCACACAUGUAUCUAAGUCUUCAUUCAAUAGAAAUACAGCAUGGAUAAUAAACGAUUAUCUUGAUACAGGAAUUAUAAUAAUAACUUAUUUAUCAUUGCCUCUAGGGUAUAAUUCCAACAAAUGUAUCAAGACAAGCAAAGCUUAAUGGGUGAGGUAUGGUUAAGUAGUGAGGCUGCGGCAAGCAACUAAGCAUUUAUUUGAGGUGUCUAACUUACAAGUACAAGAACAAAAGAGGUGGAUGACUACGCAUAAUGAUGAUCAAAUGAAUGAUCCUGAACACCUACUUACAUCAGACUUAACCCCACCGUGUCCUCAGUCAGAGAAGGAGCUCACGAAAGAGACAGUCACGGUUACGCACACAAUUGACAUCUUUUAAUUAAGCUUACUUCAAGUUAUCUAGAACCAAAUGUUAAACAAAGUUUCCACAUUGCCACAUAACCGCGGGCACGACUUUCUGAAAGGUUUAACCCUGCAGGGGUGCUCCAACUAGUCCAUCACAAAUUACCACAAGCCGCAUAGAAAGCCUCGAGCGCAAACUCGUGAUCUCCUAAGAUUUCUUAGUGGAAAACCUCAACUCUGAGAUAACCCAAAGCAUCACUGGAAUCCCGAUGCACAAGAUAUUUUGUAAAAGGUAAAACAAGUCUAGCAAGCCCACCCAAUGUGUUGACGAACGAGAUAGGAGCCGUGUAUCUCGUUCUCUGGACACGACGGAUAAGUGACGUGUACGGUGGCCUGAUAGAAAUAACCCAAGUUGACCUGGGUUGGCCCCGCACGGUGCUCUAGUUUGGAACAACACUCAUGAGGAGCAUUGGCCCGGGGGUUGAUUACUUAUCCAUGGGGUGAUCAAACCCUAUGCGGUUCAUUAGUUAAUCAGGCAAAUAUAGUGCCAAAGUUGGGGCUUGGCAAAUUAGUUUUAAUCUAAGACAAAUUAUCAAAGGGGUCCCCAUAACAACCCCGAUCAUGUUAGGAGUGCUCAAUUAUGGAAUAUAACACCGGUAGCCGAAACUAGGGCGAAAAAGAUGGAACAAAACACCAGGCUAGAAAGGCCGAGCCUUCCACCUUUUACCAAGUAUAUAUGUGCAUUAAAUUAAAUAGCAUUAAUAUGGUGAUAUAACAAGGAAACCAUGUUAUCACAUGGAAGUAACUACACCUGUAACUAGCAACGCUAUGAACUUGGUGAAGAAAGCGGUAACAUAGCCAAACAGUGGUUUGCUAGGUUAUGGAGGUUAAAGGUUUUCAUGGAAAUGUUGAGAGGCUGACAUUUAAUAGGUGGUAGGUAGCGAGACAUAACAAAAUAAACCAGACAACUAGCAUGGCAUUGAUAGUAAUCGUAUCUAGGGAAAUGGUGAUCUUGCAUGUGAUCCCGCUAGGAAGAAGAACGACUCCGUGAAGCAGAUGAACCAACGUAGUCGAGCAGAUCCUCACAUUUGGACAUGCUUGCGGAACUCUUUCGAGAAGAAGCAAACCGGAAAGUAGAAUCAACACGCAACAUUCACCACGAUACAUGCAUGAUAUGAUGCACAACACAUAUGAUGCAUCAUCGGUUUCAAAUAUGCAAGGCAUGGCAUGGAAAUUCACAACAAUCAAACACUAAACAUCAAGUUAAUCUCAAUAUGCAACGAGUUGCAUAUUGAUUAAACUCCACAUAUAAAUUAUUUAAUUCACCCCCGUUUAGGUACAUGGUAUAUUAAAUGCUAUUAACAUUGCAAGAAGUGAAGCACAAUUAAUCUGCCUAUCUAGGCAUUUUAAAUGAGGCCGGAAACGACAUAUAGCAUCUCCGAACUGACCACAUGUGUUAACUUUGAAAUAUGUCCAGAUCGGUCCUAAACACAAUUUAUAUUUUUUUAAAGAAAAAUAAAGUGGAGCAUGCGAAACUACACGUCAUUCUAGUCGGUUUACAUAAUUAGCUCAUCUCCAAUAGAGCUACGGUUAACUAGCUACGAAUUAAACCGACUUAGCAUGACAUCAUACAAAACGAGGGAAACAACAAGGUUUGUAGUUUUAAAUAUGCAUGAGAGUUGGAAAAUAUUAAUCUACACGAAAUUCUACACGUUCUACAUAUCUACCUUAUUCCGAUCUGACGCACAGUCUAAAAGAUACAAGCGUUUUAAAAUCAUGCAAUUUUCUGAAAUUCCUGGAUAAUAGACAAAUUCCCCCGUCUAAAAAAAUGUCUAUAGCAAGGUUCCUGGUCUCUGCCAGCAAGAACACCUUCUGUAGUUCAUCCCAUGGAAGCUCCUGGUAAUUCUACCUCCACAGACCAGUUAGAAUUCUCCUCCCUACAAGUAGAUGUCCAGUUGCUCCAAAGGAAUAGAGAACAAGACCGUAUGGAGUUUGAUGAAUUCAGAGAAUAUAUGCACACAAAUUUUGGUUCAGUCCAAAAAUCAUUAGCUGAUCUACAGGGCACCUUAUCAGGAUUCUUAUCUGGUUUCCCAAAGCCCAGAGAAAACCCUCCCAACCCUAUGGAUGUUCCCCAAGCUAGUGCUGUGAUUCACACAACACAAGGACCAGUCUAGGGAGGGCAGGAUCAUUUUAAAUCCCCUUAUACAGUGGGUUCAGCAACCUUAGUGGAUAAGCACACAGGAAAGGAGUUAAAUUUGGAAGGUUGUCUUAAACACCCUUACAGACACCCCCAUUUUGCUGGGAAGCAACAACCACCAGAUGCUAGAUCACAACCUGCAGCUAAUCCACCUCAGCAAGUUCUUCAGUUAGAUCCAGAGCAGAGGGAUGCUAAUUUGGACAGAAGACUCGGAACACCACAGGAUAACAGAAGGCCACUCACUUUAGUUAAGCCUGCUAAAUACAAUAUUCCUGAGUUUGAUGGUGUUGGCACUGAUUCUUGGAUACAAAAAAUUGAGAUGUACUUUGAGGCUGCUAGAACACCAAUAGAACAGAAAACAGAGAUUGCUGUAACUUACCUUAAGGGACCAGCUAUUGAAUGGUGGAGAGGCACUGGUAUGGUGGCAAAUACUAUCCCCUGGUAUAGAUUUUGCAGAUUUGUGGGUGACAGGUUCUCUGAAACAUCUGUUUGUGACAAUUUGAGAGCUUUUCACAACCUGUCUCAAUCUGGUACUAUUAAUGACUAUGUUCUCCAGUUUGAACAAGCUAUGAACUUAAUGAGAAGGGACAACCCAGUACAGCCAAAUGAUUACUACAAACACAGUUUCAUUUCUGGGUUAAAUGAUAAUAUCCAGCAUCAUGUACAAUGUCAUGAGCCCCCUGAUUUACAAAAAGCCAUCUUGCUAGCCAGAAGGAUGGAACAGGCUCAACCCCAGAGAAAAGUUUCCCCUGCCCCUAAUUACCCCUCCCAAGCAAGGAAACAUUUACAGUUUGAUCCUGGCAAACCUGGCCCAACUAACACUGCAUCCAUAAUUCAACAGGCUACAAGUGCAAAGAACCUUGGUUCCCUGGUCAUAAGAAAGUGUGCAAGUUAGCAAAUCAGGCUCAAAUAAAUGCUCUCCAAGAAUCUUACCCUCAUGAUGCUGAACUGGUGUACUACACUGAAAUCACUAAAGAUGGUGAACCACCUCCCUUCCGUGAAGCUGAUGAUACCCCUCUCCAAAUAUCUAUGCAUGCUUUGAUGGGCCUGAGUAUGGCUAAAAAGUUGAGGUUCACAGUAACUGUGAUGAUGGGCUCAACCCCUGCUACUGCCCUAAUUGACAGUGGUAGCACUGCCACUUUUAUUACACCAAAAACAGCAGCUCUAGCUAAGUGCUCCUUAACCCCCACCAAGAGAAAACAAGUUCCAUGGUGAAACACUAUGGUCUGAAUUCAUUGCUCUGCAAGCACCAUUUUCUUUGCAAGGAACACAAUUCUCCACAGACUUCAGAGUUCUCAAACUCCAAGGGUAUGAUAUUAUCUUAGGAGCUGAUUGGAUGGCAUCUUUCAGCCCUGUAGAACUUGACUUUGAUGAGAUGCAAGUAAAGCUUACACUGAAAGAUGGAGAAAAGAUUAUUCUCAAAGAUGAAAGUUUUCCUACUGCUCCUGUUCUUGAACUAGCAAUCAAGGAGAGCCUUUCUGAGGAGCCAGUGUGUAGAGCUGUUUUAUUCCUUAAUAGAAUCUCAAUGGUGGAACAGCUGGACCCUAUGGUGCCUGAACCAGUACAACAGAUACUAGAUAAAUUUUCCCCUGUUUUCAGUGCACCCACAACCCUCCCUCCAAAAAGAUCCAUUGAUCAUGUGAUCACUUUCACUCCUCAAGCUAAAAUCAUCAAUCAAAGACCUUAUAGGCUUCCUCACCACCAAAAGGAUGUUACGGAAGGCAUAGUGAAAGACAUGAUCAAGAAUCAAGUAAUCAGAGACAGCAACAGUCCUUAUUCGUCACCUGCUCUUCUGGUUAAGAAGAAGGAUAUGACAUGGAGGCUGGUCAAUGAUUUUAGAAAAGUAAAUGAACAAACUGUCAAAAACAAAUACCCAAUUCCUGUCAUUGAGGAUCUGCUGGAUGAGUUCAAAGGAGCUAUAGUUUUCUCCAAUCUUGAUCUCAGAAGUGGCUAUCACCAGAUAAGAAUGAAGGAGGAAGAUAUCCCAAAAACUGCAUUUAGUACCCAUUGUGGACACUAUGAAUACAUGGUCAUGCCCUUUGGAUUAACUAAUGCACCAGCAACUUUCCAACUGUUAAUGAACACCAUCCUAGCCCCUUACUUAAGGAAGUUUGUGCUAGUAUUCUUUGAUGAUAUACUUAUCUUUAGUAGAAAUAUGAAAGAGCACUUGUUACACUUGCAACUAGUUCUGAAAGUUUUACAAGUCAACCAAUUAGUUGCUAAGCUCAGCAAAUGUUCCUUUGCUCAAACACAAGUGGAAUACUUGGGACAUGUUAUUAGAGGUGAUGGUGUUGCUACUGACCCUUCCAAGAUUGAAGCCAUUGUGCAGUGGCCUACUCCUGCAAAUGUUACACAGUUAAGAAGCUUCCUAGGACUCACUGGGUACUACAGAAGAUUUAUCCAGAAUUAUGGCUACAUCUGUAAACCGUUGUAUCAGUCCCUCAAAAAGGAUAAUUAUAAAUGGGGCCCUGAGAAAAUGGAAGCUUUCAACUUACUUAAGCACAAGAUGGCCCAGGCUCCUGUACUUGCUCUACCAGAUUUCACACUUCCCUUUGUUCUGGAAACUGAUGCAUGUGCUUAUGGUAUAGGUGCUGUACUAAUGCAAGAGGGAAACCUCUCUCAUACUCCAAUAAAACCAUUGGACCAAAAGCUGCUGCUAUGUCUACUUAUGAUAAAGAAGCAAUGGCCAUCAUUGAAGCACUAAAACACUGGAAGCAUUACUUUGCUGCUUCUGUCUUGAUCAUCAGAACAGACCAACAGAGCCUCAAAUACAUCCAAGAACAAAAGCUGAAUGAAGGAAUACAUCACAAACUACUGGUCAAGCUGCUAGGUUACAAUUUCAAGGUAGAAUAUAAACAAGGCAAAAACAACAGGGUAGCUGAUGCAUUAUCCAGAGUCCAAUAUAAACUGCACUCCUUGAUUGCUUUUAAAGCACAACCUAUGUGGAUCUCUCAUGUAACCAACAGUUAUGUUCAAGACCAGAAAUGCAAAGACUUAUUAAGCAAACUGGCCAUUUCUGAUGCUUCACUCCCAAACUUUACUCUUGAGCACGGAAUUAUAAGAUACAAGAACAGAAUAGUUAUUGGGAAUGAUCUUACCCUCAGAAACAAGCUAGUAGCUGCCCUGCAUAACUCUGAACUGGGUGGACACUCUAGGCACAGGGCCACCUACCAGAGAGUUAAGCUGUUGUUCCAUUGGCCUGGCAUGAAGCAGUUUAUUGUAGAUUUCAUCAAACAAUGCCCCACAUGCAAAAUCAACAAGCCAGGACAUUGUAAGUACCCUGGACUGCUUCAACCACUUCCUGUCCUUGAUUUUGCAUGGUGUCAUAUCAGUAUGGAUUUCAUUGAAGGACUGCCGACAUCACAAAACAAGGAUAUGACAUUGGUGGUUGUGGAUAGAUUCACCAAGUAUGGGCAUUUAAUUGCAAUGAAGCACCCAAUCACUGUUAGCACUGUGGCCACUGCAUUCACAGAUAACAUUUUCAAACUCCAUGGGCUCUCCUCUGUCAUUGUUACACACAGAGACAGAAUCUUCACCAGCCAUCUGUGGCAAGAAUUAUUCAGGAAGCUAGGCAUUAAACUACAAAUGAGCACUUCCUACCACCCCCAGUCUGAUGGCCAAAUAAAAGAGUGAACCAGUGUUUGGAAAACUAUCUCAGGUGCAUGGCCUUCCUUCAGCCCAAGAAAUGGAUGCACUGGCUCUCAUUAGUAGAAUGGUGUUACAACACUAGCUACCACACUUCCCUGAAGAUUCCUCCAUUCCAAGCAUUGUACAAUAGGCCCCCAUCUAUGUUGGCUGAAGCUGCAUUAUAUCCACCAGAGCACAAACAAGAGUUCAGCUCCAUCCUAACUGGAGAACAAGUGCCUGCUCAAAUUAAUGCCAACCUGAUCAAGGCUCAAGAAAGAAUGAAGCAUUUUGCAGAUAAGAAGAGAUCAGAGAGAUCACUUGCAGGGGGUGACAGGGUCUACCUAAAGCUACAACCUUACAAACACACCACUUUGAGUGUCCACAGGUGCCUCAAACUUCAUUCCAAGUACUAUGGCCCCUUUAGGAUCAUACAGAAGGUGGGACCAGUGGCAUAUAAACUACUCCUACCUGAUCACUGCAAGCUCCACCCCACAUUCCAUGUGAGUCAACUCAAGCUACACUUGGGGCCAAGAGCAAUACCCAACCCCAACCUACCCCUUCUCCAUGAGAAUGGAUCCAUCCUCCUAGAACCAGAGAAGCUGCUGCAGCAAAAGCUUGUUCCAAGAACACAAAGGGACAUACAAGUGGCAGUGGUUCGUUGGCUCAUCAAAUGGACCAACUUGGAUGAGAGUGAGGCCACAUGGGAAGACGCCGCUUUCAUUCAAAAGGUUUUUCCGCAAUUCAUCCCUGAGGAUAGGUCUGAUGUUGCGCGGGGGGAGUUGUCAGGACCCAGCGAAGACGAAGCCCGCAGCGUUCGAAUUCAAACGAUGGCGCCAAGCGACCACAGCCAUCGAUCCUUGAUCUAACGCCCUCCAGUCGCCCGUACCAGUUCGUGCGUGCCAGUUACUCCUGGAGUACUCGAUGAUUGAUCCGACGGCUGCGAGACUGUCCCGCGUUGCUGUAGCCAUCCGACAACGGCGCCAAGCGUCGGCCACCUUUCUACCCUACUUUACCUUGUUUUUAUUGCGUUGUAAGGCUAUAAAGCCAUGGAUUUCUAACUCGUGGAGCUAAGUUUUUCCUCUAGGCUUUCCCCAUUUUGCGCCGCCAGUGUUCCUGGCCGGCUUAGGUUACUCCUCUUGUAACCGAAUCCUUGGCAAUUUGCCUCUGAAAUCACCCCGAAACUACUCGGUUCUUCUUUGACAGUGUUCUUAAGAUCGUCGGGGCUGACACAUGUCGUGGUUAAUGAACGGACUUUGGAGAGGCUUUGGCGCGGCGGAUGGGUGGAUACAGUUGAGGUGCCCCAGAUCUGGCCGGUUUCGCGGUCGGGCGGAGCUUAGGGCAUGGAUGACGGCUGCUCUAGGUCAUGGCGUAGAUGAGGCUCCUCCAUGGACGACAACCAUUGCAGCUCCUACGAGAAGAAGCACGAGGGAGAGAGAGAUCUUGGAGAAGGGACGAGGGACAAGGGUACGGGGAGUGGGGUCAUGACCUCGUCAGCCGUCGGGGUGGCGCGACGACUCUAGCACACGAGGACGUGGCCAGGACGAGCUCCUCCCAGACGCGAGUGGGGAUGCAGAUGGGAUCAAGGGUAGCAGGAGGGAGAGCAUUCUCGGGGCCAUGGCGGGCGACACAACCCGGGCUGGCGGUGUAGCUCGCUAGCUGGCCUGAGCACUCGAGGUCGAUAAGGAGGCUAUGCCUCGGGCUGCUGGGGCUCUACAACAUGCGUACAAGGAGCCUCGGGCUCCUUGUUUGCGGCAGACGUGUCCAGGAGGACAUGCACGAACGGAUCAGCUGGAACUCUGGUUGGUUUUGGGGAGAAAAGAAGGUGGGCGGCGGCUGGAUCAGGAGCAGAUCCCGAGGGAGAUGUGGCUGGCAGCGUCGGAGGGACAAACUUCCUAAAUUUUAGGGUUUGGUCUGAUUUAAAUUAGGGUCUCAAUAUAUAGCUAGCGGGUUAGGUUUUAGGGGCAUAUGGACCCUCCGAUUUAGAUCGGUUGGUCGAGAUAAUUAGGUUAGGAAGUCCAAUGUACAAACCAAUGACGGUUUGCUGUAUUACGGGGUUGAUCCGGACCCAACGGUCACGACCAUGUGUUUCGGGUUUCGGGAGGUUUCUUGCUAGAUGCGCACAGGUCGGUGCACUAUGUAGAGGGGCUAGACGGGGAAGAGAGGGAAAACGGGCAGCCCGGCGACAUAAUUUUUAAAUACCAAAAACGUCUGACCAUUGGACCGGCUAGUGCCACUAUAGGUUUAAUGGUUCGGAUAUCAAACGAACACCGAUUGGUAUGAAAUUUGACAGGCGGUUUACCUACAUUAAAAUAACACCGCGCGUCGUGUUUCAACCCAAUCCAAGAAUGUUUUUACACACUGUAACGUGGGCGCGUGCGUGUGUGGUUGCUCUCGAAACGGUCAACGACAAAAGCGGAGAGAACCAAAAACUAAUAAUGAAUGCAAGUUUUCAAAACUGACGUCAAUGAAGUGCUGAUGCAAUGUGGAUGAUGCGAAUGAUGCGAUUAUGAAUGCAACAAAUAAAAUAAUCACACGACGGCAACAGAAUAGAAGGGGAAUCUUCUUGAGCAUCGAUCUCGAGUUGUUACAGGUAUCCCAAGGGAUCUUCUUUUAAUAUUGUUGGCUAUUCUUGCUCGGACUAUGCCAGAGACAACGUUGAUAGGAAAUCCACGUCAGGAACAUGUCAAUUUCUUGGGGUAUCUCUUGUGUCUUGGUCAUCCAAGAAGCAAAAGUCGGUAUCUUUAUCUACUCCCGAAGUUGAAUAUAUAGCCGUCGGAUCAUGCUGUGUGCAAUUACUAUGGAUUACUCAAACUCAAAAGGAUUAUGGAAUUCAUGUUAUACAUGUUCCAUUUUUGUGUGACAAUGAAAGCGCUAUUAAAAUUGCCUAUAAUCCUUUGCAACAUUCUCGAACUAAACAUAUUCAAGUGCGACAUCACUUCAUUCGUGAUCAUGUUGGUAAAGGAGGUAUAGAUCUUAAGCAUGUUCAUACCGACAACAAAUUAGCUGAUAUCUUUACAAAACCACUUGAUGAGAAAGUGUUUUGUCAUUUGAGGAGUGAGUUGAACAUCAUUGAUGCUUUAAACUUGAGCUAGACUCACUCGGAUGCAUGCAAGGGCAUGAGCUUAAUUGACUAUUCCUUGAUGCUAUUGUUAUGAAACUAUCUUAUAUCUUGAAAACUAUAGGCUCCCUUGUACUGAAUGUUUUUGUAGCUACUUGGAAGAACAACACUUCACAAGAUUUCCAUCAACUCAUAUCAAAAGCAAUCUUGACAUAGCCAAGUAUCAAUAAUCCCUUCUUCGAAGAUGGAGGAAGAAGACAACAAAAUCAUAUGCUUGACAAUUAUAUGAGGACAUAUUUCACUCAUGUCAUUUGCAUAUAUUAUGUUCUUCCUUUCAUGACUAACCAUUGUAGGUGAAAAGUGAACCAAAACGACAAGGAUAGCUUACCAACUCAAGAUGAUCUUCACCAACUUGGAGUAUCCAUGACAAGUUCACCUACAUGCCAUGUCAUCAACAUCAUUCAAAGGUAUGUACUCAUAUCGUUGAUAAAGCUUUGCACCAACUCAUGAGGUAAGGCAACUCAAGCGAUAUGAAGACAUUAAUAUGCUUAAGCGCAAAAUGGGUCGCUUAACGAUGAGUGUGACCUAUUAUCAAGCAUUCUUGCUUGACUCCUCAAGUCAAAUACUCUAAUAUAGUUGAUCUAGUCACCGCCCCACAUCUAGAUGGAGAUACUUGUAUGGUCACAUUUUUCAUUGCAUGUUUUCUUAGAACCAUUGAAUUCUCAUCGAUAUGUAUGUAUAUUUCAAAGAACACAAAAAACUUAUCAUUUGUUCUUGUUUUAUGUUUUCUUUCACAAUUGGUAUCUUAUAACAAUAUUUUGAUUAUUCUCUACCUAUUUUCAGUUAAGGAGUUGAUUUUCGUUGCAACUCGGUUUCACCGAUCUCGGAAACUCGUUCCAACCAAUUUCCCCCAGAGGCCUCAUGUGAUUCUCGGUUUACCGAACCAUAUUGCCUUGGUGUCUCCAAAAUUUAUCACUGCCUUUGAUUUUUUGGUAACUUCUAGAAUUUUGCCUUAGGGGGAGAAAGGUUAUCAAUGUUCCCAAGUUUUAUUUCCUUGUAAGACUUUCUUGCACAUUUUGGAAGACAAUAUUAGUUAUAGCGUAAUUUUCUAGGGGGAGGAAAUUUCUCUAGGGGGAUAAACCCUCAAUGAUACCACAAUAUAAGAGGGAGAAUCAUCUAGGAUCCCUAACCUUGGGGGAGAUAGUUCAAAGAACUCUUUUCAAUUCUUAAGGGGGAGAAAAGUCAAAUUUCAAGGAAUCCUUAUCAAGAGAGGAGUAUCAAGGAUCCCUUUCUCUCAAUGAGCCCUUACCCUCUGACCUUUUUGGAACUUAAUACCAAAGGGCGAGAAAUAUCAAAGCUUCCAAUGAGCCUAUAUAUAGGAGGAGAAAUAUCACCAAUAAUCUUACACAAAAGGGGGAGAAAUAUCAAUAUGGGGAGAUAUAUGUUCCAAAGGGGAGAUCUACCUAAAUGGAGAUGUAUCCAACCAUACUUAUUGAGGGAGAGAGAGAUAGAAGUGUUUCAGUUAUGACUAUUCUAUCACUAUCUUUUGAUUGAACUUGUCUUGCCCUACCUACUCCGAAUAUCUACAUGCUAUGAUUCAGGGGGAGAGGAAAUUCUUACAUAUUCAUCCUUAGGGGAGAAAGUUCUAAAUUAUCUUGGAGACAUAUCUAUCAUCAAAACCUAUUUUGAAUAUUUCUUCAAUAUCUUGGUACUUUUGAAGCUCUUUGCAACUUUACAAUAGAGUACUCUUGUGUUAUCUAACAUUUGUUUUCCCAAGUAUACUCUUAUUGCUAAGACGCUCAAGAACCUCAAGGUAAGUAUAUGCAUCAUAUCCUUGUUCAUGAUGAUCUCCUAUCUCUUGCACAUAUGUUUGCAAGAGUAAGUCAUGAACAUGGAAGCUCUUCAUUCACAUAUGUUUGACGCAUAUAGCCAAGAUCUACACGACUUGUAUUGUCCUACUACAAUGUGUGUGCCCUUGCAGUCCAAAGCCACUAUCCUUUAAAAGGGAUUGCACGCAUUUAGGGGGAGCAUGUACUACUCAUGUAUCUUUUAAAGUUGUCAUAUUCUAAUGCCUAUAUUUAUUUGAAGCAUUGAUUGUAUGUUGUCGUCAAUUACCAAAAAGGGGUAGAUUAAAAGCAGAUUUGCUCCCUUGGUGGUUUUGAUAAUUCAUGACAACACACAUUGUCUCUUGAACUAACACUUUUACCUAGUAUGUUUAAGUUUAGUCCACAAAGAGAUUUGGCUAAAGGAUUGUGAGGAGAAGACCCUUCAUGAAGGAAGGAAUAGGAUUGGCUAAAGCUUCAAGAAAGAAGACUCUUCAUUUUACACUUGGUGAGAAAUCACUAUUGAGUCCAUAGGAAAGCCAAUACUAUUAAAAGGGGAUGAGGUAUUAUGAUGAAUUGGUUGUUCAAGUGCUUCGAGAUAGCCAGCAAACACUCGGCCACUUUCCCACAAAAUACAUCUGUCCAAGACAAAUAUGCAAAAUUGGUGCCACCAACAUUUCCCACUCGGCUAUACCGAUUUUAUACUUAGACAGAUCCUAUGUCAAUCCCACCAUCUCGGUACCACCAACAUUCCAAUCGGUGCCACCGAGAUUGGGUGACCAACAUUUUGUUGAGCUAACUUCAAGUUUCAGAAUUUCUGAGUUUGAAGUCUAUAUCACCAAGUUUGGAAACCAGUCUAGGUCAUACUAUCGGUACCACUGAGAUUCCUAUAUCGGUCUUACCGAGAAUUCAAAGUUGCCACGUUUAGUGCAACUCGGUACCACCGAGAUUAACAUUUCGGUGUCACCGAGUUGGGCAAUAAUGUUGUAACGGUUGGAUUUUGGAAGAUGCCUAUAUAUACCCCUCAACCUACCUAUCACUCGUAGAGGAAGCACUCAGAACACACUUACACUUUCCAGAUCCUUUUUUUAGAGAGAGCCACCUACUCAUGUGUUGAGAUCAAGAGAUUCUAUUCCUAUCAUGAGAGAGCUAAUCCUAUGUGGACGGAAGUCAUAGUCGAAUAGACAAGGCCGCUUCUUCAUGGACCCCUUGUGGGCGAACCCCUCCGUGUACUCUCGGACCCAUCACCCUCCGUGUGUUGAAGUCUCCACUAACAUGGUGGUACCAUAGCGCCACCUGUCAGAACCAUGCCAAAAAUUGCCAUGUCAACUUCUUUGCCUUUGAUCUUCCAAAACUCUACUUCUUACUACAUGUGCAAAGUCUUUANNNNNNNNNNNNNNNNNNNNNNNNNNNNNNNNNNNNNNNNNNNNNNNNNNNNNNNNNNNNNNNNNNNNNNNNNNNNNNNNNNNNNNNNNNNNNNNNNNNNNNNNNNNNNNNNNNNNNNNNNNNNNNNNNNNNNNNNNNNNNNNNNNNNNNNNNNNNNNNNNNNNNNNNNNNNNNNNNNNNNNNNNNNNNNNNNNNNNNNNNNNNNNNAACCAUUAAAUUGGGAAAAGGCUAGAAUUUUAAUUUAUGCAAGUAGUCUGUUCACCCCCCCCCCUCUAAACACCUCUUUUAUCGAUCACUCACACUUGCACUGUACCAACCCCAUUAAGCGCGUUUUUGACUUAUUUCUAUUUCCCUCUUGCCUAUUUUAGUUGUUUAACUUGGCUUCUCCAAAUAGGAUGGUGACUGCAACCCGAACCAGCACUUUUGGCAGCUCCGACACCGUCAACUCUAGCCAGCAACCAGAGGCUGGUGGGUUUGCUCAAGAUGGAGAUCACCAGGAGGAGCCACAAGGCAACAUUCACCCACCACCACCUCCACUUGAGAGCAUGACCAUAGCUCAGUUUCUCCAAGUUCUCAGAGAGGAAUGUCAAGCCAACACUACUACUAUCCAGUAGAUGUCUCGAGUCUUUGUGAAUAACCAACAACAAGGCAGAAAUGGCAAUUGUCGUUCCACUUUGUCGGAGUUCAUGAGGAAUUCAGCCCCAACCUUCACCGAGACUGCUGAACNNNNNNNNNNNNNNNNNNNNNNNNNNNNNNNNNNNNNNNNNNNNNNNNNNNNNNNNNNNNNNNNNNNNNNNNNNNNNNNNNNNNNNNNNNNNNNNNNNNNNNNNNNNNNNNNNNNNNNNNNNNNNNNNNNNNNNNNNCUGAACCUCUAGAUGGUGAUGACUGGAUCCGCACCAUCCAGGACCUCCUUGCAUUGGUCAACUGAAAUAUGGACCAUGAGAAGGUUCUCUAUGCCUCACAUUUCCUUGAAUGUACCGCGAAAACUUGGUGGGAUGGAUUAAAGGUCAAGCAAGGUGACCAUGUGAUCAGGUGGGCUAAUGGGUAUCAAGAAGCGGGAAUUUUGAGCGCUGAAGCAAGUAAGUGGCUCCAUCGAGGAGUACUUGCAAAAGUUCAAUAUCCUAUCGAGGUGUAUACCUGAAGAUGUUAGCACUAAGGCAGGCAAGAUAGAACGUUUCAUGGAAGGACUCCAGCAAGUACUAUAGUAUGAACUCGUUGUAUGUGACUGUCGGACUGUCUUAUAGUUGGUGAACAAGGCCCUCAUGCUUGCAGAUAAGCGCCAUGCCAUGGAAGACACUCGCAAGCGCAAGAUGAUCACAAAUGGCAGUUCCAGCAGCCAAAAGCCUCGCCCGUGGCAACUAGCCCCAGCAAAGCCAAACUAUCAGCCUGAGCAGGCCAAGACUCCCACACCUCGUCCGAGCUACUAGCCUCAGUAGUAUGCCAACCCCAAUUCAGCAUAAAAAAACCCCAAUAAAACAUUGGUGGCAAUACCAACAACUUUGGGCAGGUCACGUGCUUUGGUGUGGUCAGAGUAGACAUAUCUCAAAGAAGUGACCCAACAGGAAGCCUGAUGCACUGCGUCCCAAUGCGCCAAACCAAGGACAAGGUAGUCGAGUGCCACCAAGGAACCAAGCUCCCCGCAACCAGCCGAACAAUGGCAAGGGUCGUUUGAAUCAAGUCACUACUGAGGAAGCCCAGGAAGAUCCAGUUGUUAUACUGGGUAUGCUCCUUGUCANNNNNNNNNNNNNNNNNNNNNNNNNNNNNNNNNNNNNNNNNNNNNNNNNNNNNNNNNNNNNNNNNNNNNNNNNNNNNNNNNNNNNNNNNNNNNNNNNNNNNNNNNNNNNNNNNNNNNUGGGUAUGCUCCUUGUCAACUCCAGCCCAACAAUAGUUCUGUUUGAUUAUGUUGCCUCACAUUCUUAUGUCACUAAAAAGUUUGCAGCAGAGAGUGGUAUGAAGCCUACACCUUCGAGUAGUCAUAUGAUGGUACUAACCCCAGGUGCGGUAGUAAGGACAAAGAUAGGAUGUAAAGGAGUUGGGAUUAACAUCAACGGAGUAGACUUCCUAGCACACCAUAUCAUCCUGAAGUCGCAAGGUUUGGAUGUGAUCCUUGGCAUGGAUUGGUUGAAAAACCAUCGAGGCUUGCUAUACUGUUACCAUGACUAAUAGCCAAGGAGUCGAAGUCAAGUAUGUUCCCAAUCCUACCUCUGCUCAAGCCCCUCGAGUAAAUUGUGUGUCGGGAAUUGAGUUGGAUCAGGUGCCACUGAUAUGUGAAUACCCAGAUGUCUUUCCUGAUGAGCUGCCCAGAAUGCCUCCUGACCGUGACAUUGAGUUCAUCAUUGAACUAGUGCCCGGAGUAAGACCCAUCUAUAAGAAUCCCUAUAGAAUGGGAUUCGAAGAGUUGGCUCAACUGAAGAAGAAACUAGCAGAUCUGCUCAGAAAAGGAUUUAUUUGUCCUAGUGCCUCUCCUUGGGGAUCACCUUUCCUAUUUGUGUCAAAGAAGAAUGGAACGAUCCGACUCUGUGUCGAUUGCCAUUCUCUCAAUGAGGUCACAAUAUAGACCAAGUACCCACUCCCCAAGAUAGAGGAACUGUUCGAUCAAGUGAAUGUUGCCAAGGUGUUGUCCAAGAUCGGUCUCAUGUCUGGGUACUAUCAGAUGAAGGUAAGACCCCAAGACAUUCCGAAGACGACAUUUCUGACCAGGUAUGGCAUGUGUGAGUACACGGUCAUGUCCUUUGGGUUAACCAAUGACCCAACCUACUUCAUGCACGUCAUGAACAAAGUCUUCAUGGGUAUUUAGACAAGUUUGUUGUUGUCUUCAUCAAUGACAUACUCGUCUUGUCCAAGUCUGAAGAAGAGCAUGAGCAACACUUGAGGAUGGUCCGGGAUAAGAUUCGAGAGCACCAGCUUUAUGCCAAAUUCAGCAAGUGUGAAUUUUGGCUGCAUGAAGUUGGGUUCUUGGGUCAUGUGUUGAUGGCAAAAGGAUUGUCAUUGGAUCUUGUCAAGAUUAAUGUCGUGACUGAAUGGCAAUCUUCAAGCAAUGUGAAGUAAAUUAGAAGCUUCCUCGGACUCGCGGGAUACUACCACAAGUUCAUUGAAGGAUUAUCAAGCAUUGAUUGACCUAUGAUUCAACUCUUGAAGAAGGACAAGAAGUUCGAGUGGACAACAAAGUGUGAGGAGAGCUUCCAAGAGCUCAAGAAGAUAUUGACAACAACCCUAGUUUUGGCCACCCCUGAUAUUCAUACGGAGUUCGUGAUGUAUUGUGUUGCAUCAAGAACCGGGCAUGGUGGUGUUCUGAUGCAAGAUGGUAGAGUCAUAGAAUAUCUAUUUAGACACCUACGUCCUCACGAAGAGAACUAUGCCACUCAUGAUCUUGAGUUGGCAGCAGUUGUUCAUGCCUUGAAGACAUGGCGACAUUACCUUCUAGGGAAGUGAUGUGAGAUAUACACGGACUACAAGAGUUUGAAGUAUAUUUUCCCUCGAAAGGAAUUGAACAUGAGGCAACGGAGAUGGUUGGAUUUGAUCAAAGAUUAUGACCUGAGUGUUCAGUACCACCCUAGAAAGGCCAAUAUGGUAGCAGAUGCAUUGAGAAGAAAGUCAUGUUCCUUGAAUGCCAAGAUUAAGGAAAGUCUACCCGCCUUGUAUGAGGAACUUGAGAGCUUCCGGUUGGAGCUUGUUAUACCAGGAUUCAUAGCCAUCCUCUAAGUGAAGCCUACAUUGAUGGAUGAUAUCAAUGAAGCUUAUAAGGGACAUGAAAGCAUUGAAGGCAUCAAGAAGAAGAUCAAGAAAGGCAAGGCUCCAGGAUUCUGAGUGGAUGAAUAAGGAGUCGUGUGCUAUGGGAAUCGCAUCUGCAUACCCAACAAAGUUGAUCUCAGGAUCAUGAUCUUGCAAGAAGCUCAUGACACUCUGUAUUCCAUCCAUCCUCAAGGACCCAAGAUGUAUAAAGACCUCAAGGCAAGAUUAUGGUGGCAUGUCAUGACGAGAGAGAUAGCCUCCUAUGUCGCUAAGUGUGACAUAUGCGAGAGUGUCAAACCUGGGCAUCAGCGAUCCGGUGGAUUGCUACAACCUCUCAAGGUGCCUAAACGGAAGACAGACAAAGCCAAGAUGGACUUCAUCACCGGAUUUCCCACAUCAAGCGAAGGACAUGAUUCCAUUUGGGUCAUUGUCGAUGACGUGACCAAGGUAGCCCACUUCAUUCCCAUCAAGAGCUCUUACGAUAGACACAAGUUAUCUAGUCUUUACAUCAAGCAUAUUGUGAGACUUCACGGUGUUCCAAAGGAGAUCGUGUCAGACCGCGGUACAAAUUUUACCUCAAGGUUCUGGAAGCAGUUUCAAGAAGCCAUGUGUCGGUGCACUAGAGACUGGGGUCCCUUGUGCCCCAAACUUGUGCACGGGACGGGCAACGCCCCUCACAGCGGCGCACGAGGAAGAAUGGCAGGAAGGAAAACCAAGACCCACCGAGGCCACGCCCUCCCCUGUCCUAGGGCGUGGAGUACGAGAGCUCCAGAUGCAUGGCCCCGGCAAGCCCUCCUUGCCGAAAAGAUUCGCAAGGCCCCGACAAGCCCUCCUUGCCGGGAAGGCUCCCGAAGACUCGCAAAACCCCAGCAAGCCCCUCUUGCCGGGAAGACUCGCUAAGCCUGGCGAGGCCCCCGGCAAGCCCUCCUUGUCGGGAAAGUGUUCAAGCCCCCGGCAAGCCCUCCUUGGCGGGAAGAUAACCAAGUCAUCUAACAGGGAUGCCAGGCCAGUAAGCCCCUUCUGCUCGCCAGGUGUCCUCCCCCGUUUCUACCACAAUCCGACCCCUCCAGCGCAUCCUUCAUGCGCCAGCACAUGACCCAGGUGUCGAUUCACCUUGGUACGUCUCGCGACCACUUCGCUGCAGGUCAAGGGUCAGACAAGGCAUUUACUGCCCCUGACACCACCGUAGAAGAGGAGCGGGAACACUGUUCACUAUGCAACCCGUGAGCACACUGUUGGUGACCCCUUUGCCUAUAAAUGAGGCCCAAGGGUCAUUCUAGAGGUUGGACAUUUGGGGAUUUGGGACUACCUAAUCACCAGCUAAGUUACUGUAGCAAAUCACCCUACAGUAACCACACAAUACAAACUAAGCAGGAGUAGGGUUUUACGCGCCAAGCAGCCCAAACCUGGGUAAAGGACCUUGCCGGUGUUGAUCGCUAGCUCUGCUCUCGAUGCCACCUCUCUCUCCCCCCGCCGAAUGAUCAAGGGACUCCUCGAGUUUCCCAUAGGUUCCGGUUUCCCCGACAUCUUUGGCGCGCCAGGUAGGUGGCGGUGGUUGAGAGUUUUAUCACGGAUUCAAGCAAAUUCGCACCAGAUCUUGGGAAGUUGAACGCACCAAUGCGGUCCCUCGAAGCAGGACGCAGCAGUGGUCGCUCUACUUCACCAUGGCCUCCUAACGCGUGGGCGAGCGCUCCACUGCGCGAACGCAAGCUAGGGGGACGGAGACCCCGAGCUUGAAGACAUCAAGUUGACGCACCGCUCCAGGACAACGCGUUGUUGUCGACAGUGUGCCUGGCGGCUUCGGCGAGGCCUCCGGCGCAUACUCCAGAUGACACACCUCCACGAAGUGAUGCAUAGCCGCCGAGGAUGCGCCGACAGGCCCCGAAUACUAGGCACACACUCCAGCGGAAAUGCUUUCCCCCCUGGAAGCAGCACGUCACCGUUGAAGAUGCGGUCGGGGGCUCCGCUAACACGGCAUAGCAAAACAGGAAAAGGAGUUAUACUCCGGCAAACCCCUUCUAAACGAUAGUCAAGGACUAUCGGCAAGGACCUUGCUGGAGAGGAAGUUGCCGGGAAAGUGUAACCUCCUGCUUGCCGGGGAUCUGAGGCCCCAGCAAAGGACCCAAGCACCGCGGGGAGAAGUGCUGCGGCUUGACAGAUAAGUGAUAGAUAUUCUAUAUGAAAUUUCAGAGUAGACAGGUUGCUUCCUUUCUGGAGAUCUCUAACCUUGUUUUAGAAACUUGCACGUAGAUGGAACCUUGUCAGGAUCAGUGCCUUCGCACUGUCUCGAACCUGUUGAACACACCAAGCGGCUACACAACACCUUAUUUCAACUCGAGCCGCGCUCGACGAUCUAACGGUUGCACUCAGUGCGGCAAGAAGCCUUGCCGGUAAGGACCCCUGCAGCAAACUGGAAAGGAUCCAUUCCUCAAAGCACUAGCGACAGGACCAGUCACGCCAGCAAGCUUCCGGAAAAUGCAAAGGGUGUAUCAUGCAAGCGGAAGGAUUGGAUGCAAGGGAAACAACAUUUCAUUCAUUUGUUUGAAACAAACUCACACAUAUUACAUGGAUGAUUUUUAAUACUCUAACCUAUGAUACUGUCUUUUGGCGAGGGACACGCUUGCCGGCCUGAAGUUCAAGAAGACAAAAAGGCGGAGCUCGCCAAGAGCCUGCCCUGCCAAGAGCGCCACUGCCGCCGCUGUCCUCCUUGUCGCAAUCGCUCGAGGAGGGACAUUUGGCGCCGCUCGAGCUCUCUUUGCAGCAGCCGAGACGCACACCAGAGCGCCCAUAAAACUUGAUUGAUGGCAUAUUAUCCCCCGCUAGCUUAAAGCGGAGGACAUGCCCAUCCUCGAGGCUGUGGGCACAGGCGAAGGCUUUCCAGCCCCGCCCGAGCAAGAUGGAGCGGCGUUUCGGGUACUCCACGUGCAGCUGAAUAGCGCCGUGGGAGCAACCGUACGCCCGCAACCACAAGAUGGGAGGAUUGGCGGCCUCCAUCACCCUAACAAAAGGGCGAGGGAGGUGCAGAUGGCCCCGAAGUACGCCGUGCAGUUCCACGAUGAACUCCAGCGCUGUCCCAUCUGAGUGCCCGCCCCAUGGAGGAGAAUACAACGCUCGGAGAGAAGACGAUGGUGCUGGAGUAGCACUCCACCUUCCCUGGCCAUGACCUCCGCAGCGACAGCAGCCCCUCGCCCGUCCGCCACCUCGGGCGCUCGUGCUGCCCUCCGCAGCUGCGGCCCCUGAAGCUGUGGCAUGAUCUGAAUGGGAUCCCCUUGCCGUCUUGGCAGCCGAUGGUGGCCGCCCUCGUCCCCUAGCCAUGGUUAGGGGCAAGCGCCACCUAGAACCGGAGAAGAAUCCCCAGAUGCAAGUCAGGGGUGCUGAAUGUUUCAGGAGUUGGAUGGAUGAGCAAAACCCCAGCGCAAACUUCCUAAUUUAUAGGGCAAGGCGUGGGGGCUAGCUCUCCUCACUCCAGAAACCGCCGGCCCUCUCGCCCAAUCACCCAUGAUCACGCGCAAACAGGGAACCGCCCUGCUGCACUAAUGCAUGCAGGGGCGGGCCCUGCCAUGACUGCGACCAUUAAGGCUACGAACGCCACUUUCCUGACUGUUAUUGCGCAUGCCUCCCGAGUGGCAGUAAUGCGUCGGGAGGUGGGGAGGCCAUUGUGCGCACACUUCUCCACCUCGCGAGCUCGAUGCGCGACGUUGGAAAGUGCCGCUCGCAACGGCUGCAAAACUAUAGAGUCCCUACCAUGGAAGCUUGUGAACUAGUUUGGGCCUGGCCCAGCAAUGCCCCACACAUGUGUGUGGCCCAGGCCCGGGGGCUCCUGUCGGUGCACUAGAGACUAGGGUCCCUUGUGCCCCGACUUGUGCACGGGCACCGGCAACGCCCUUGGCAGCAGCGCAUAAGGAAGAAUGGCAGGAAGGCAAAUGAAGACCCAUGGAGGCCACGCCCUCCACUCUGCGAGGGCGUGGAGUACGAGAGCUCCAGAUUCAAGGCCACGACAAGCACUCCUUACUGGGAAGAUUCGCAAGGCCCCGGCAAGCCCUCCUUGCCGUGAAGUCUCUUGAAGACUCGCAAGACCCCGACAAGCCCCCCUUGCCGGGAAGACUCGCUAAGACUGGUGAGGCCCCCGACAAGCCCUCCUUGCUGGGAAAGUGUUCAAGCCCCUGGCAAGCCCUCCUUGCUGGGAAGAUAACCAAGUCAUCCAACAGGGAAGCAAGGUCAGCAAGCUCCUUCCGCUCGCGAGGUGUGCUCCCCCAUUUCUACCACAAUCCGACCGCUCUAGCGCAUCCUUCAUGCGCCAGCACAAGACCGAGGUUUAAAUUCACUUGGGUACGAGGAACGACCACCUCGCUGCAGGUCAGGCGUCAGACAAGGCAUUUACUGCCCCUGGCACGACCGUAGAAGAAAAGCGGUGAUCACUUUUCACUAUGCAACCCGCGAGCACGUACACUCUUGGUGACCCCUUUGCCUAUAAAAGGAAGCCCAAGGCUCAUUCUCGAGGGUUGGACUUUUUGGGAUUUGGGACUCCCUAAUCACCAGCUAAGUUACUCUAGCAAAUCACCCUAGAGUAAAGACCAAUUACAAACUAAGCAGGAGUAGGGUUUUAGGCACCAAGUGGCCCAAACCUGGGUAAAGAACUAUAAGUGCAUCUAGUGCCCCUUAGUGAUUUUGGUGGUUUGAAGACUUAUAGGUUAAGUAUCUAAUGUGUUUGUGAGUGUACACAGGAUCUAUAAGUCAUUGAGGAGUUUGAGAUAUUUGAAGAAUAUCGACCCCUAAGAAUGUAUGUCUUCAGUUGAAGAAAUUGGUCUGAAGCUGAAGAAAUGAAUCGCGAGGAAUCUGCGAUGAAAUUGAUAUUCCUCAUGAAGAUACUAAUAUUGAGAAGUCCGGUGUGUCCUGAAGAAAAUCACUCUGAAGAAUUUAAAGCAUGAAGAUUAACACUUUCUGUUUUAUUUUCUUCGCAUUUGAGUAAUAGGAACAUCGUAUAGUUAAAGGGGGUCGAAGUUACACUUUGGAAUGAAUUUCCUCAUGAUGCUCAACCCAAGCCUAAAUCCUACCAAAAGCCUCAAGUGAGGAAUACGAGUGAAAUGAGGACUCUCAUAGUUGAGGGUCUCGACCGUUUCGAUAGCCACGCCAAGUCAUUUGUCUUCUCCACUCCAACGGUCAUAUUAUUUAAGGGCAUUAGUGUCAAAUCAUGUCGGGAUGCUCCCAGGCUAUAAAUAGCCACCCCCCACAACCACUAGCUGGUUGGCUGCUCUUCUAGAAACUGACACUUGUCAUAAGAGCAACCCAAUUCCUCAGAGUCUUCAAGAGUAAUUCAUAAGUGAGGAAAUACACCAUGCACCGAAACCACAAACCAAACCUAGUGAUUGAGCAUCACUGAAGAAGUUGUUCCUGUGUGGGACUGAAGCCUUUUACCUUUGAGGACUGUGCAUCCUCCAGACGGUUAGGCGUCAAGGUCUAGAGCUUUCCAGCAGUCAAUUGUGGAUCGCCGGGUGACCAAGUUUGUGAGGGUUUGGAUGUCUUCCCUGAAGACUUACCACGAGUGUUGGGCGAGGACUGUGUGUCGUUAGCUCAAGGAGAAUACGGCAGGGACUGUGUGUCCCGGGAUUGUGUGUCCUUUGGUUUCAAUACCAAGCCGCUCCAAACCAGAUGGACAAGUGUCACAGCAGUUGGAACUGGGUCAUCAACGAUUGUCUUCACUGAGAAACGGGUUCUAAUUCCUCAACUCCUUACUUUUCUCGUAUUAUGUGUUGAUGACUUUCACUGCAACUAUUUGAAGAAUUUGCUGAAGACUUUCUCUGAAUUUCCUCAACCCCAAAUUCUUCACGUUAGUUAAUCCACAUCUUUAUUCUGCGUGCCUGCUCACUGUGCAAUCUGUUUUCACAUUCUUCACUCUGAAAAACUGCUGUGGUGAAACUUUGCACUUCUGAUCCUUUACUCUGAAAAAAGGAAUUUCCUCAGUGAUGAAAUUCUAAAAAUCUCCUAUUCACCCCCUCUAGUCGAUAUAACGCACUUUCAAUUGGUAUCAGAACAAGGUACUCCCUUGUUCUGUGUGAUUUUGGUUUAACCACCUGGAGUUUUAGUUAUGUCGACUGCAGGCAUGUUUAAGGUGACUGCAGCAUGUCCUACCUAUGAAGGAAAGAACGUUCCCUUCUGGAAGAACAAAAUGCAAAUGCAUCUACAAGCUAUUGAUAAUGAUCUCUGGUAUAUUGUGGAACAUGGCGUUCCCAUCAUCUCUGCCAGUGUGUGUGCUGCUGAUGUGAAGAAAUUCAAGCAACUCGAUUCUCAAGCGAAGAACAUCAUCUGUGGCCAUCUGAGCCCAGGCCAGUUUGGAAGAGUAAGUGCUUUGGGCUCUGCAACACUGAUCUGGGACAGACUGUGCAAGGUAAAUGAAGGAGUAUCAACCCAGCGUGACUCUCGUGUUGAUAUUCUUCGCAAUCUCUUCAAUCGCUUCAAGAGACAUGACAAUGAAAGCUGCCAAGACACCUUUGGUCGCCUCAGUGACAUAUCAAAUGAAUUGCAAGCACUGGGAGCUCGAGACAUCACUGAUCACGAAGUUGUGAAGAAACUGCUGAGAUCUUUGGAUUCUUCAUUUGAUACUUUAGUUCUGAUGAUUCAAGAAAGACCAGAUUACAAGAUGCUUGAUCCAGCUGAUAUACUAGAAAGGCUAAAUACUCAUGAAUUCCAGCUAGAAGAAAAGAGAGAUCUAUAUGGACCAAGCUAUUCCAGACCACGUGCACUGAAGGCUAGAGCAAUUUCCUCAUCUGAAGACGAAGACACAGAUGACAGCAUUUGUGACCCUGAAGAAUUUGGACAGGAGCUUGCAAUGCUCGUGAGGAAAUUCCAGAGAUUUACACCACGUGGUCAGUUCGGUAAAUCUUCAAGAAGAGACAUGAGGAAAUCAGAAUCUUCAUCUGAGGACUACAAGAAACGAACCUAUCACAAGUGCAAGAAAUCAGGUCAUUACAUUGCUGAUUGUCCCCGUUGGGGAAAGGAAUCAAAGAAGAAGAAAUACAAGGAUGACAGUUCUGAUGGCUCGAAGAAGAAGAAGAAAUCUUCAAAAUCCUCAUCUUCAAAGCCCUCAUCACACAAGAAGACUAGUUUCAGAAAGGCUCGGGCACUUAUUGCCAAGGAAAUGGACUCCGAGGCAGAAUCAGAGGAAUGUGAUGAAGAAGAGGGUUCUGAUGAAGACUCCGAAUCCGGACAGGCUAGUCUUGCACUGGCAACCACUUUCGUCAGCAAGUCAAUCUUCAAUCUUGAAGAAUAUGAUUACACCAUCCAUACUGAUGACUAUGCUGAUGACUUCGCUCCAACCUAUUGCUUCAGGGCAAAAGGUUCAAAGGAUGAGAAACCCAAGAAUACUGAGUGGGUUCUUGAUAGUGGUUGCACACAUCACAUGAUUGGUGAUAAAAGCAUACUGAUGAAUAUGCCACUAACUCCAUCACCUCUGAAGGAAAUCACAUAUGCUGACAAAGGUAAAAGCAAGGUAUUGGGACUUGGCAAAGUGGCUAUUUCCAAGGAUAGGCAUAUGGACAAAGUGAUGCUUGUUGAAUCCCUUGGUUUUAACCUUAUGUCAGUCUCGAUGCUUUGUGAUCUUGAUAUGAUUGUUAUCUUUGGUAGAUAUAGAUGUGUAGUCAUUAUGGAAUCUGACAGAUCCAAAGUCUUCGAAGGUGUAAGCAGAGGGGAUUUGUACAUUGUUGAUUUCUCUACAGGUCCUCAACCAACCACUUGCUUACUAGAAAAAACCUCAGAAGGUUGGUUGUGGCACCGAAGACUAGGUCAUGCAGGCAUGAGGAAUUUGCACACGCUCGCGAAGAAGAAGCAUGUCAUCGGCAUCGAACCAGUCAAAUUCCUCAAGGAUCAUCUCUGCGGUGCUUGUGAAUCUGGGAAAAUGACCAGAUCCAAGCAUCCCUCGAAGACUGUCAUGACCACUACACGUCCAUUCGAAUUGCUUCAUAUGGAUCUAUUUGGACCUACUCACUAUGCCACACUAACCAAUGCAACAUCUUUAUAUGGCUUCGUCAUAGUUGAUGAUUAUUCCAGAUAUACUUGGGUGCAUAUCAUAGUGUAUAAAACUGAAGUGCAGGAAAUCUUCAAACGAUUUUCUUCAAGGGCCUCGACGAACUUUGGCAUCAAGAUCAAACAUAUCAGGAGUGAUAAUGCAAUCGAGUUCAAAAACACUAGUCUUGAUGAUUAUCUUGAUGAACUUGGUAUUACUCACGAAUUAUCUGAUCCUUAUACUCCUCAGCAGAAUGGUGUCGUCGAAAGGAAGAAUAGGACUCUGGUUGAAAUGGCAAGAACUAUGCUUGAAGAAUAUCAGACUCCUCGUCGCUUUUGGCCUGAAGCAAUCAACACUGCAUGCCAUAUCAUCAACAGGGUAUAUCUUCACAAAUUCCUCAAUAAAACCUCAUAUGAACUCCUCACUGACAAGAAACCCAAUGUAAGUUAUUUCAAAGUCUUCGGUGCAAAAUGCUGGAUUAGAGAUCCUCACCAUAGCUCAAAAUUUGCACCUAAGGCACAUGAAGGUUUUAUGCUCGGUUAUGGAAAGGACUGGCACACCUACAGAGUCUUCAACAACUAUCACAACAAAGUUGUUGAGACUGUAGAUGUGCGGUUCGAUGAAACUAAUGGCUCGCAAAGAGAGCAAUUGCCCUUUGAUCCAGAUAAACUGUCUCCUGAGGAAGCAAUAAAGCUCAACCCUACUGAAGGCAUUGUCCCCACUGAGGAAAUUGGUGAAGAAACGAUUCCCAUCACAGAUGAAAAUCAAGAAGAUGCUCCUGAGGAAAUUGCACCAGCACCACUUCCUCAGCCCAGACAAAAUCCUCAACCAGCUCAUCCGAGGAUUGCAAAUGAAGUAGAACUUGACAAAAUCCUCAACGACAUCAACGCGCCAGGUCCUCUCACUCUCAUAUUCUUCGAUUGCAAAUGAACUUAGUUAACUUUUGUGGGCAUUUCUCCUUUGUAUCCAUCACAGAACCCUCAAAAGUUGCUGAGGCUUUUCUGGAACCAGAGUGGAUCCAAGCUAUGCAAGACGAACUUCUUCAAUUCAAUCUGAAUGACAUAUGGGAGCUCAUCAAACGACCAGAUCCUCGCAAGCACAACAUCAUCGGUACCAAGUGGAUUUUCCAAAACAAGCAAGAUGAGUACGGUCAAGUGGUGAAGAACAAGGCACGACUUGUAGCCCAAGGCUACACCCAGGUUGAAGGGAUAGAUUUCGAUGAAACUUCUGCACCUGUUGCUAGACUUGAAGCUAUUCGAAUACUACUUGCUUAUGCUAAUCAUCAUAACAUCAUCUUAUAUCAAAUGGAUGUGAAAAGUGCAUUCCUCAAUGGUAAGAUUGAGGAAGAAGUAUAUGUUGCUCAGCCCCGAGGUUUUGAGGAUCCAAAGAAUCCAGACAAAGUCUUCAGACUCAAAAAGGCUCUUUAUGGUCUCAAGCAAGCCCCUCGGCCAUGGUAUGAUACAUUGAAGGAAUUCCUCAUGAAGAAAGGCUUUGAACCUCGUUCACUCGAUCCAACUCUUUUCACUAAAUCCUAUGAUAAUGAGCUAUUUGUGUGUCAAAAAUAUAUGUCGAUGAUAUCAUAUUUGGCUGUACUGACAAACGAUACAAUGAUGAAUUUGCUUACAUGAUGAGUGAAGAAUAUCAGAUGUCCAUGAAGGGGGAGCUGAAAUUCUUCUUAGGUCUUCAAAUUUGUCAACAAAGCAAUGAAAUCUUCAUAUCACAGGAGAAAUACCUCAAGGAUGUUCUGAGGAAAUUCGACAUGCAUGAAUGCAAAGGUGCCAAGACUCCAAUGCCUACCAACGGCCACCUCGGCACUGAUGAAAAUGGUAAAGAUUUCGAUCAACAGGUAUAUCGUUCUAUGAUUGGCUCUUUAUUGUAUCUAUGUGCAUCUAGGCCAGAUAUAAUGCUUAGUGUUUGCAUGUGUGCACGUUUUCAAGCAAAACCGAAGGAAUCACACCAUAAGGCUGUGAAACAUAUUCUUCGAUACUUAGCUCACACACCAACACUAGGAUUAUGGUAUCCCAAGGGCUCAAAUCUUCAUCUGGUAGGGUAUUCUGAUUCUGACUAUGCUGGUGACCGUGUGGAUCGCAAGUCAACUUCUGGCACAUGCCAUUUCCUCGGAAGAUCACUAGUUUGCUGGUCCUCAAAGAAGCAGAACUGCGUAUCACUCUCCACUGCCGAAGCUGAGUACAUUGCUGUGCUCAAUUACUAUGGAUGAAGCAAACACUCAAGGACUACGGCAUCAACAUGAAGAAUGUGUCUCUCUACUGUGACAAUGAGAGUGCUAUCAAAAUUGCAUACAACCCAGUACAACACUCGAAGACCAAGCACAUCCAGAUUCUUCAUCAUUUUCUUCGGGACCAUGUCCUCAAGGGCAAUAUCCUCAUCGACCAUGUGAAGACUGAUGAUCAACUGGCAGAUAUCUUCACUAAGCCCUUGGAUGAGAAAAGGUUUUGCAAGUUGCGGUGUGAGCUAAAUAUCUUAGAGUCUUCAAAUGUUUUGUAAAAAACAUGCACACAUCCUAACACUUAUGCAAAGUUGAUGACUUAGAUGUGCAACACAUGAUGAAUCGAUUUUCUUCAACUAAUGAAGAAUGUCACUCUGAAUGUGAAGAAAUUAACGAAGAAAUUGAUUCUCAGGGCCUACGACAAUUGUAGGCGGCGUAUGUAAUCAACAUUCUUAUAUGGUGGGUCACGCCACCGCCCAAUGUGAAAUUCCUCAAGUUGAUUUUGUUCAAGUGAUCAAUUUCCUCACAAUGUGUUUUUCUUCAAAACAGCUGUUCUUCAGUGUGAUGAUUUAUCACAAAAUCUUCAAAAACACUUGAUGACUUUCAUUUGACUAGAUAGACUGUGAUUUCAAGUCCUCAACAACAUUGAAUUAUUGCUACUUCUUCAAGUUGAUAUUUUUGCUAAGUGAAUGUGAUCGGACCCUACAUCCCCUCUAUGCUAUACUCAUCCAGUCUAUUCAAUUCUUCAUAUGCGUUCUACUUGAAACUUUGUUCAAAAUCCUCACUGCGUCCGUGUCAGCUGAUGAUUUUGUAACGAAAAUCCUCAAAUCUUCAAAAAUUGUUUCUUUAAUACACAGUAACUGAACCCCACUUCCCACGAUCGGAUACCCACGAUCUCCACUAUCUCCACCACACUAUUCGAGAGCUACACGUGUCCUGUGGAGACGUAGAGGCAUUUCCAGCACAGUGGNNNNNNNNNNNNNNNNNNNNNNNNNNNNNNNNNNNNNNNNNNNNNNNNNNNNNNNNNNNNNNNNNNNNNNNNNNNNNNNNNNNNNNNNNNNNNNNNNNNNCUGCUGUCACGGGGAGUGGUUUGGUGGACAGAGUGACGCGGGAGCCGAUGUGUAGCCGGAGAUCGACCGGAGCUCCGAGGCGGAGGGGCCUUGGUCGAUCUCGAGCACCGGGGCUCUGCGGGCUUACUGGGGUGGCUAGGGGGUGACUGAGGUUGAUGAGAUGAGGAAUGAGGGGUGCUGGAACGAGGGGAGGGGCUUUAUAUAGGCCCACGACGGUGUGCCGACUUGGGAGUGCCAGUGAUUCACCAUGGCGUUCAAGGGGGUGUAGAGAGGAGCUGGGGUCGAAACCACAGUUUCACGAUGUGGUUUUGGACUGCUAGGACUAACUGCGAGGGAGAUGGGGAGAGGAGAGGCGAGCUACCAUGGCCACGUAUCUCUGGCUGGUUCUGGUGCAUGCGGGCACGCGUCGCACCAGCUCUUAGCGCGGGAGAGGAGGAGCCCUGAUGAUAGCCUGAUGCAGAGGGGUUGCCGGGGGAGAGGAGAGACACAUCGGGGAGGCUGGAACUGGCCAAGNNNNNNNNNNNNNNNNNNNNNNNNNNNNNNNNNNNNNNNNNNNNNNNNNNNNNNNNNNNNNNNNNNNNNNNNNNNNNNNNNNNNNNNNNNNNNNNNNNNNNNNNNNNNNNNNNNNNNNNNNNNNNNNNNNNNNNGAGCGUCGCCCCCACCUUGGUGGCUCUUUGUAGCACACCUAGAGCGCAGCUUUGGCAUGCCACGGCAUGUUGGUGUGCUCUGGGGUGCCUUGGACGUAUCUAGCGUGUCCUGGGCACUGGCUGGGAGAUGCCUAGUCGUUGGAGACCCGUGGGAGCUUCGGCUAGUCUAGGGGGACAAAGAAAUCAGGUGCCGUCAGCCUUGAGUUGAAGCUUAUAUUGGGGUUUUUGGUUUUUCUCCUUUGAACCAUAGAGGGGCCAGUUGACUAGGGCUUGGCAUUGAUGCUAGCCACCUAAUCUGAGAGUUUGGGAGAAAGGGUUUGGGUUUAGCUAGGGUUAGGAGGGGUUUUAUCCAUCUGUCAGAACGUGCUCGACAAUGGUUUGGAGUGGUUUCACCCAACCACUCAUUUUGCAACUUAACGGGAUUGGGUUUGGUGCUAAAGCAAGGGGUUUCACCAAGUUUGAGCUCCAUUGGACAAGUUUAACUUUGUAAACUUGAAAACUUAACCAAAUGACCACAUAUGUUCCUUCCAAAGAGAGUAUGGGAAAAACAAGUCCCACAAAUCCCAUUUUUGGCAUGGAGUCCUCAUUUGAGGUUUUAGGCACUCCUGCAAAGUUUUAGCUCCAAUGGACAAACUUUGCUAUGUAGAGUUGAUCCAACUUCUUACCUGUGAGAAGGGUUUUGGCAACUAUUUGGUGAUAAUCACCUUUGAUCAAGGUGAAAUUUUAUAUGGGCACCGAAUAUGGCUUAGCGAUACCACUCGAAUUUUCUAGGAAUUUAUUGAGAAUANNNNNNNNNNNNNNNNNNNNNNNNNNNNNNNNNNNNNNNNNNNNNNNNNNNNNNNNNNNNNNNNNNNNNNNNNNNNNNNNNNNNNNNNNNNNNNNNNNNNNNNNNNNNNNNNNNNNNNNNNNNNNNNNNNNNNNAUUUAUUGAGAAUAUUUCCUUUGGAAAUAUUUCAAAAGGUAAAAAUAGACAGAAAGGGGUUUUUAGGGUUUUACUCAAAUAAUAAUAAUAUGAAAAGGGGUUUAAAAUCUUAUGUAUGGAAAAUAUAUGUCCUUUUAAUCAUCUCCAAAUUUUCUCAGAUUUUUCUAAGGUAGAAAAGUAUUUUUCCAUAUAGGAAUACCAUUUCUGGCCUCAGAAAUGGACAUGCAACUAAAUUAGAAAAAUAAUUCAUAAAAUAAUUAUUUUAUGAUUUUGGUGAACUAAAAUGGUGCUAGAACGAGAACACCAACUUUGGGUAAGAACACUCCUUGCCAUCAAGGACUUGUNNNNNNNNNNNNNNNNNNNNNNNNNNNNNNNNNNNNNNNNNNNNNNNNNNNNNNNNNNNNNNNNNNNNNNNNNNNNNNNNNNNNNNNNNNNNNNNNNNNNACGACGCUCGGCCACAUGCAGUUCGAUACUACUAUGCAUCGUGUCGUAUUAAGGAGAAGUCGUCGUGCCGUGAAAAGUUUCUGAGGAAGGAGCAGUACAUGAAGGUAAUUACCUAUUCUUAAGGCCUUGUACUUAGUUUCCUUGAUUUGAUUCGUAGGCGUAGCACUCAAAUUUGUCUUAACUAACUUAUAGGUGCACCCGAGAUGGUGUACGGAUAAGAUGGAUUGUUGGGAGGUGUUGAUUGAUGAGUGGUGCACAGGCCAAUGGCGAGUCAUCCACGACAAUGCAAUGGACCGGUGUGCCACACCAUGAAGGCAGUGCCAACUUAUUUUAGUUCACGUGGAACUUGGUUUUCUGUUUAUUUCCUGAUUCAUGCAAUUCAUUCUUCAUGCUAGUUUGAUCCCUUUACUAAUACUUUGCUCCACUCUUUUAGGCACAUCAGAAGAACGUGGAGGUGCCAGAGGUGUACGACCUCUAUGCCAUGGCCCAUACUGCCUCCUAAAGAAGGCCAAGGAAUUCUUUGAGUCUAAGCUCGAUCAUCGAGAGAAGUUCACCAACAUGUCCUUCCACCACAAGCUCGUGAGUUAGAACAUGGUGGGAAGGCGAGUAAAGGGGAGGACUUUAACAUGAGCCAGCAACCUUUGGAUCCAGAGCUGGUGAUGAUAUCUGGUGGCAGGAGGCCCCAUGGAUCGAUAGCCAUUCGAGAUGGGCUGAUACAUUGUCCUCUCACUCUCCAAGAGAUGAAGGCGCGCCAAACGAUCUCCUGCCCCUAAGAUAAGGACUCGUCUAUGGCUAGUCGAUCUAGCCAUCGAGGUUAGUUAUAUGGAAUCAGAUAACUUUCCUCCAUUACAUUGUGUGUGUCCAUCAACGAUUGCAAUGCUAAUGAGGAGUGGUAUUGCACGCUACUCUUUAGAGAGAGAGUGACAACACAUGCUGCUCUUUUGCGGGAGAGGGACCGGGUGGCGACGGAGACGGCUCAGGCUGCGGAGGAGAAGAUGGUUCGGUUGUUGGAGGAGGAGAGGGCAUGGAAUGAGACGGCUAACCGGGCCAUGUACGAGCUCCUUCUGGUAAGUUUCUUUAUCAUAUUAGCCAAAUCAAGCAUGUAAUGUCCCUUUCAUUACUAACUAAUAUGACUCACUCGUCAAAAUCAAAUGAGUAGUCUAUGUGCGAGAAUACCGGCCAAACCCUUCGUCGAUGCCAGUCAUUUCUACGAUUGGAACAGCGAGUUUCAUUUCAAUGGUCAUUAUUUACUAGUAUUAAUAUUUGAGUGUCAUCGUGCUAAUGAGACAUUGCAAAUUAUCUCUGGUGCAGAAUAGCUCACAUAAUUAUCUUAGUUAGGUCAAAAAUGGCAUAAUAACCUGGGCUAGCUCAUAAAUGUCAUAUACUUAGCUUAUUUUCCUCCAAAAUGACAUAAUAAGCCUAAAAAUGGCAUACAAAGACAUACAGAAUAGUAGAGGAAAGAGAAGAAAAAGAAAGAAUAUAAGAAUAAGAAUAAGCGUUCUUCUUCUUUCUUUCUUCUCUUUUUCUUUUCGUUCUUCUUUUCCUUAUUUUUCUUCUUAUUUUUCUUCGUAUUCUUCUUCUUCUAAUCCUCCUCUUCUUCUUCUAGUCUUAUUCUUCUUCUUCUUCUUCUUCUUCUUCUUCUUCUUUUUCAUCUUCAUCAUCAUCAUCAUCAUCAUCAUCAUCAUCAUCAUCAUCUUAUUAUUAUUAUUAUUAAUAUUAUUAUUCUUAUUCUUCUUCUUCAUCAUCAUCAUCAUCAUCUUCUUCUUCUUCUUCUUCCUCUUCUUAGCUAUUUAUCCUCCAAAAUGAUAUAAUUAGGUUAUUUAGUUCAUUUAUGACAUAAUUAGCUUAGUUAGGUCACAAAUGGCAUAAUAACAUUGGUUAGCUCAUAAAUAUUAUAUACUUAGCUUGUUUUCUUCUUCUUCUUCUUAGCUAAUUACCCUCCAAAAUGACAUAAUUGGCUUAUUUAGUUCAUUUACGACAUAAUUAGCUUAGUUAGGUCACAAAUGGAAUAAUAACCUUGGUUAGCUCAUAAAUGUUAUAUACUUAGCUUUUUUCCUCUAAAAUGACAUAAUUAGCUUAGUUAGGUCAAAAGUAUCAUAAUAACCUUGGUUGGCUCAUAAAUGUCAUAUACUUAGCUUAUCUUCCUCCAAAAUGACAUAAUUAGCUUAGUUAGGUUAGAAAUGGCAUAAUAACCUUGGUUAGCUCAUAAAUGUCAUAUACUUAGCUUGUUUUUCUCUAAAACGACAUAAUUAACUUAGUUAGGUCAAAAAUGGCAUAAUAACCAUGAUUACCUCAUAAAUGUCAUAGACUUAGCUUAUUUCCCUAAAAAAUGACAUAAUUAGCUUAGUUAAGUUACAAAUGGCAUAAUAACCUUGGUUAGAUCAUAAAGGCACAUACUUAGCUUGUUUUCCUCUAAAAUGACAUUAUUAGCUUAGUUAGGUAAAAAAAUGGCAGAAAAACCUUGGUUAGCUCAUAAAUGUCAUGUACUUAAAGGAAGUGAGUCUAGCUCACUUGGCUAGUGGAGUGGAUGUACAACCCAACCACCCAGGUUGAAGUCCCCACGGAAGCGAAUUUGGGUUCUUAUUAUUUAAAAAAACUCGCUGUGGGGGCUUCCCUUAUAGUUUUCCUUCAAAAAAAUUGUCAUGUACUUAGCUUAUUUUCUUCCAAAAUGAUAUAAUAAGCUCAAAAAUGGCAUAAAAGCAAAAAUAAAGAAUAAAAGCUGAAAGAGUAGAAAAAAGAAGUAAAGAAGAAAACAAAGCUUCUUCUUUCUUUCUUAUUACAAUUUUCCUCCUUUUUCUUUUCUUCUUCUUCUUCUUCUUCUUACAUUCUUCUUCUUCGUCGUCUUCUUCUUCUCCUUCUUCUUCUAAUCUUCUUAUUUUUCAGAUUCAGAUUCUUCUAGUCUUCUUCUUCUUGUUCUUCUUCUAGUAUUCUUCUUCUUCUUUGUAAUCUUAUUCUUCUUGUUCUAGCCUUCUUCUUCUUCUUCUUCUAUUCUUCUUCUACUACUACUACUACCACCACCACUACUACUACUACUUCUUCUUCUUCUUAUUCUUCUUCUUCUUCAUCAUCAUCUUCUUCAUCUCCUUUUUCUUCUUCUUCUUCUUCUUGUUCUUUUAGCCCUCGUCUUCUUCUUCUACUUUUCUUCUUCUUCUUCUUCUUCUAACUUUCUUAUUCUCAUUUUGCAGAUUUGAUUCACUUCAUGGAAGUUGGCAUUGAUGGACUUCUACUAUUUAAUUUUUGUUUCAAUUUGUAUGGAUGAAUAUUAUGAUGUUUGAAACUAUGUGUAUAUAUGGAUGAACAAUAUGAAGCUAGCCUAUUUGUUGUCUUGCUCAAUAUUUUCACGAUGAUGUUGGAUGCAUGGCCUAUGCUUCUUAUAUGAUGUUUGAAACUAUAUAUGAUGCUUGAAAUUAUAUAUAUCAUAGAUGUAUUCUGAAAAUGCACGGAAAUAACUGAAAACAAACAAAAAAGUGCCAAUAUAGGCAUUCUACCAUCUGCGAACCAAUGACAAAGGCCUUUGCCAUCGGCGAGCCGAUGACAAAGGUUUCACAUGACAGCUAUGCCUGCAACCUGGGAGCACCAGGUCUGACACAUUUGGUCACUUUGGCGUCAGCUAGAAGUAGGCCGACGACAAAGGGAGUUAUGGGCAGACGGCAAAGGGCCUCACAGGUAGUUGACAAAGGGCGUUGCAGGUACGCUGACAGAGGUAGUAGUGACGUCAGCUUGCAGACGGCAAAGGCUGUCAUUAGCUGGCGGACGGCAAACGAUGCCCCGAGCAACCCUGAUGCUUCACAUCCGUGAUGACGACGACAGUAAGUUUUCUCCAGGGCAAACUUCUCCAUGUGAAACCGCACAGAGCAACCUCGGUGCUUCACAUCCGUGAUGACUGCGUGUUCUUCUUACCAAAUGCAUACUUACCCUCGUACGUGCUAGCCCUAUUAUGCCACAUACUUAGAUUAUUUUCCUCAAGAAAGACAUACUUAGCUAUUUUUUGUCAAAAAUGUCAUAAUUAGCUUAUUUAGUUCAUUUAUCACAUAAUCAUCUUAGUUAGGUCAAAAAUGGCAUAAUAACCUGGGCUAGUUCAUAAAUGUCAUAUACUUAGCUUCUUUUCCUCCAAAAUGACAUAAUAAGCCUAAAAUGGUAGACAAAGACAGAAAGAAUAGAAGAGGAAACAGAAGAAAAAAAAGAAUAUAAGAAGAAGAAUAAGCUUCUUCUUUCUUUCUUCUCUUUUUCUUUUUGUUCUUCUUUUCCUUAUUUUUCUUCUUAUUUUUCUUCUUAUUGUUCUUCUUCUAAUCCUCUUCUUCUUCUUCUUCUAGUCUUAUUCUUCUUCUUCUUCUUCUUCUUCUUUUUCAUCUUCAUCAUCAUUUUCGUCAUCAUCAUCUUAUUAUUAUUAAUAAUAUUAGUAUUAUUAUUCUUCUUCAUCAUCAUGUUUUUCAUCAUCAUCAUCUUCUUCUUCUUCUUCUUCUUGGAUAUUUAUCCUCCAAAAUGACAUAAUUAGGUUAUUGAGUUCAUUUAUGACAUAAUUAGCUUAGUUAGGUCACAAAUGGCAUAACAACCUUGGUUAGCUCAUAAAUAUUAUAUACUUAGCUUGUUUUCGUCUUCUUCUUCUUAGCUAAUUACCCUCGAAAAUGACAUAAUUAGCUUAUUUAGUUCAUUUAUGACAUAAUUAGCUUAGUUAGGUUACAAAUGGCAUAAUAACCUUGGUUAGAUAAUAAAUGGCAUAUACUUAGCUUGUUUCCUCUAAAAUGACAUUAUUAGCUUAGUUAGGUAAAAAAAUGGCAGAAAACCUUGGUUAGCUCAUAAAUGUCAUGUACUUAAAGGAAGUGAGCCUAGCUCACUUGGCUAGUGGAGUGGAUGUACAACCCAGCCGCGCAGGUUAAAGUCCCCACGGGCGCAAAUUUGGGUUCUUAUUAUUUUGAAAAAACUCGUUGUGAGGGUUUCCCUUACAGUUUUCCUUCAAAAAAACUGUCAUGUACUUAGCUUAUUUUCCUCCAAAAUUAUAUAAUAAGCUCAAAAAGGGAACAAAAAAAGAAAGAAAGAAUAGAAGAUGAAAGAGUAGAAAAAGAAAGAAGAAAACAAGAAAAAUUAGCUUCUUCUUUCUUUCUUAUUAUUAUUUCCCUCCUUUUUGUUCUUCUUCUUCUCCUUCUUCUUCUUACAUUCUUCUUCUCCGUCUUCUUCUUCUUCUUCUUCUUCUUCUUCUUCUUCUUCUUCUAGUCUUCUUCUUCUUCAGAUUUUGAUUCUUCUAGUCUUCUUCUUCUUCUUCUUCUUCCUCUUCUAGUAUUCUUCUUCUUCUUCGUAUUCUUAUUCCUCUUGGUCUAGCCUUCUUC